rnacentral:lncRNA from 1 species
UUUUUUGUUUUUUUGUUGGGCCUUCUCUUUUUUACGACCUUUUUCUCCCUUUUUUUAUUUUUUGUCCGGAGUCUCAUCCCGGCUUGUGGGGGAAUCAUAGUCUCCAUCAUCCUUUCCUCACACGGGACAAUGCUCUAAUAAUGAUGGUCAUCACACUUUUAUUAACUUACAACUCAAGAAUUACAACUCGAUACUUAGAACAAAAUAUGACUCUAUGUGAAUGCCUCUAGUGGUGUACCAGGGUGUGCAAUGAUUCAAGAGUGACAUGUAUGAAAUUAUGAACGAUGGCUUUGCCACAAAUACGAUGUCAACUGCAUGAUCAUGCAAAGUAAUAUGACAAUAAUGAAGCGUGUCAUAAUAAACGGAACGGUGGAAAGUUGCAUGGCAAUAUAUCUCAGAAUGGCUAUCGAAAUGCCAUAAUAGGUAGGUAUGGUGGCUAUUUUGAGGAAGGUAAUGGUGGGUGUAUGGUACCGGCGAAAUUUGCGUGGCACAAGAGAGGCUAGCAAUGGUGGAAGGGUGAGAGUGUGUAUAAUCCAUGGACUCAGCAUUAGUCAUAAAGAACUCACAUACUUAUUGCAAAAAUCUAUUAUUUAUCGAAACAAAGUACUACGCUCAUGCUCCUAGGGGGAUAGAUUGGUAGGAAAAUACCAUCGCUCGUCCCCGACUGCCACUCAUAAGGAAAACAAUCAAUAAAUAAAUCAUGCUACGACUUCAUCACAUAACGGUUCACCAUACGUGCAUGCUACUGGAAUCACAAACUUUAACACAAGUAUUUCUCAAAUUCACAACUACUCAACUAGCAUGACUCUAAUAUUACCAUCUUCAUAUCUCAAAACAAUCAUCAAGUAUCAAACUUCUCAUAGUAUUCAAUACACUCUAUAUGAAAGUUUUUAUUAUAUCCCUCUUGGAUGUCUAUCAUAUUAGGACUAAAUUUAUAGCCAAAGCAAAUUAACAUGUUGUCUAAGACUCUCAAAACAAUAAAAGUGAAGCAUGAGAGUUCAACAAUUUCUUUAAAAUAAAACCAACGUCGUGCUCUAAAAAGAUAUAAGUGAAGCACUAGAGCAAAUGACAAACUACUCCGAAAGAUAUAAGUGAAGCACAAUGAGUAGUUGAAUAAUUAUGUAAUUCUGUGAAGACUCUAUAACAUUUAAGAAUUUCAUAUCUUGGUAUUUUAUUCAAACAUCAAUCAAGACAAAAUAAAAUGAUGCUCUAAGCAAAAUGCAUAUCAUGUGGUGAAUAAAAAUAUAGCUCCAAGUAAAGUUACCGAUGAAUGAAGACGAAAGAGGGGAUGCCUUCUGGGGCAUCCCCAAGCUUAGGCUCUUGGUUGUCAUUGAAUAUUACCUUGGGGUGCCUUGGGCAUCCCCAAGCUUAGGCUCUUGCCACUCUUUAUUCCAUAGUCCAUCGAAUCUUUACCCAAAACGUGAAAACUUCACAACACAAAACUUAACGGAAAACUCGUAAGCUCCGUUUGUAUAAGAAAAUAAAUCACCACUUAGGUACUGUUGUGAACUCAUUAUAAAUUCAUAUUGGUGUAAUAUCUAAUGUAUUCUAACUUCUCUAUGGUUCAUACCCUCCGAUACUACUCAUAGAUUCAUCAAAAUAAGCAAACAACACAAUGAAAACAUAAUCUGUCAAAAACAGAACAGUCUGUAGUAAUCUGUAUCAUUCAAAUACUUCUGUCACUCCAAAAAUUCUUAAAUAAAUUGGUGGACCUGAGGAAUUUGUCUAUUAAUCAUACUCAAAAAUAAUCAACCUAAACUCACCCUCCAGUAAUAAAUGGCAGCUAAUCUCGUGAGCGCAAAAGUUUCUGUUUUUUACAGCAAGAUCGCAAAGACUUCACCCAAGUCUUCCCAAAGGUUAUUCUUGGCACAAACACUAAUUAAAACAUAAAACCACAUCUAAACAGAGGCUAGAUGAAUUAUUUAUUACUAAACAGGAGCAAGAAGCAAAGAACAAAAAUAAAGUUGGGUUGCCUCCCAACAAGCACUAUCGUUUAACGCCCCUAGCAAGGCAUGAUGAUUUCAAUGAUGCUCACAUAAAAGAUAAGAAUUGAAACAUAAAGAGAGCAUCAUGAAGAAUAUGACUAGCACAUUUAAGUUUAACACUCUUCCUAUGCAUAGGGAUUUUGUGAUUAAACAACUUAUGGGAACAAUAAUCAACUAGCAUAGGAAGGCAAAACAAGCAUAACUUUAAAACUUUAAGCACAUGGAGAGGAAACUUGAUAUUAUUGCAACUCCUACAAGCAUAUAUUCCUCCCUCAUAACAAUUUUUAGUAGCAUCAUGAAUGAAUUCAACAAUAUAACCAUCACAUAAAGCAUUCUUUUCAUGAUCUAGAAGCAUAGAAAUUUUACUACUCUCCACAUAAGCAAAAAAAAUCUCAUUCGGAAUAGUGGGAGUAAACUCAACAAAAUAACUAUCAUGUGAGGCAUAAUCCAAUUGAAAACUAAAAUCAUGAUGACAUUUUUCAUCUUUAUUCUUAAUAGCAUACAAGUCAUCACAAUAAUCAUCAUAGAUAGCAACUUUGUUCUCAUAAUCAAUUGGAACCUCUUCCAAAAUAGUGGAAUCAUUACUAGAUAAAGUCAUGACCUCUCCAAAUCCACUUUUAUAAUUGUCACACUAAGAUUCAACAUCCUCCAAAAUAGUGGGAUCAUCACUUCCUAAAGUUGACACUAUUACAAACCCACUUUCAUCAAUAUAAUCAUCAUAAAUAGGAGGCAUGCUAUCAUCAUAAUAAAUUUGCUCAUUAAAACAUGGGAGACAAAAAAUAUCAUCUUCAUCAAACAUAGCUUCCCCAAGCUUGUGGCUAUUCAUAUAAUUAGCAUCAAGGGAAUUCAAAGAAUUCAUACUAACAACAUCGCAAUCAUGCUCAUCAUCCAAAGAUUUAGUACCAAACAUUUUAAUGCAUUCUUCUUCUAAUACUUUGGCACAAUUAUCGGAAUCCUUAUUUUCACGAAAGGCAUUAAAAAGAUGAAGCAUAUGAGGCAACCUUAAUUCCAUUUUUUAGUUUUCUUUUAUAGACUAAACUAGUGAUAAAACAAGAAACAAAAAGAUUAGAUCACAAGAUCUAAAGAUAUACCUUCAAGCACUCGCCUCCACGGCAACGGCGCCAGAAAAUAGCUUGAUGUCUACUACACAACCUUCUUCCGGUAGACGUUGUUGGGCCUCCAAGUGCAGAGGUUUGUAGAACAGUAGCAAAUUUCCCUCAAGUGGAUGUCCUAAGGUUUAUCAAUCCAUGGGAGGCGUAGGAUGAAGAUGGUCUCUCUCAAGCAACCCUGCAACCAAAUAACAAAGUCUCUUGUGUCCCCAACACACCCAAUACAAUGGUAAAUUGUAUAGGUGCACUAGUUCAGCGAAGAGAUGGUGAUACAAGUGCAAUAUGGAUGGUAGAUAAAGGUUUUUGUAAUCUGAAAAUAUAAAAACAGCAAGGUAGCAAGUGGUAAAAAUGAGCACAAACGGUAUUGCAAUGCGUUGAAACAAGGCCUAGGAUUCAUACUUUCACUAGUGCAAGUUCUCUCAACAAUAAUAACAUAAUUGGAUCAUAUAACUAUCCCUCAACAUGCAACAAAGAGUCACUCCAAAGUCACUAAUAGCGGAGAACAAAUGAAGAGAUUAUUGUAGGGUACGAGACCACCUCAAAGUUAUUCUUUCUGAUCGAUCUAUUCAAGAGUCCGUAGUAAAAUAACAUGAAGCUAUUCUUUCCGUUCAAUCUAUCCUAGAGUUCGUACUAGAAUAACACCUUAAGACACAAAUCAACCAAAACCCUAAUGUCACCUAGAUACUCCAAUGUCACCUCAAGUAUCUGUGGGUAUGAUUAUACGAUAUGCAUCACACAAUCUUAGAUUCAUCUAUUCAAUCAACACAAAGAACUUCAAAGAGUGCCCCAAAGUUUCUACCGGAGAGUGAAGACGAAAACGUGUGCCAACCCCUAUGCAUAAGUUCAUGAGGUCACGGAACUCGCAAGUUGAUCACCAAAACAUACAUCAAGUGGAUCACGCGAUAUCCCAUUGUCACCACAGAUAAGCACAUGCAAGACAUACAUCAAGUGUUCUCAAAUCCUUAAAGACUCAAUCCGAUAAGAUAACUUCAAAGGGAAAACUCAAUCCAUUACAAGAGAGUAGAGGGGGAGAAACAUCAUAAGAUCCAACUAUAAUAGCAAAGCUCGCGAUACAUCAAGAUUAUGCCAAAUUAAGAACACGAGAGAGAGAGAGAGAUCAAACACAUAUCUACUGGUACAUACCCUCAACCCCGAGGGUGAACUACUCCCUCCUGUCAUGGAGAGCGCCGGGAUGAUGAAGAUCGCCACCGGAGAGGGAUUCCCCCCUCUGGCAGGGUGCCGGAACGGGUCUAGGUUGGUUUUCGGUGGCUACAGAGGCUUGCGGUGGCGGAACUCCCGAUCUAGGUUCAUUUCUGGAAGUUUGGGUAUAUAUAAGAGGUGUUGGAGUUAGGAACAAGUUAGGGGGGUCCCCGAGGCGGCCACGAGGUAGGGGGGAGCCCCCAGGGGGGUAGGGCGCGCCCCCACCCUCGUGGUGGCCUCAAGACUCUUCUGGCCCAUCUCCGGUACUCCGUGGGCUUCUUCUGGUCCAAAAAUGAUCUCCAUGAAAUUUCAGGUCAAUUGGACCCCAUUUGGUUUUCCUUUUCAGGAAUACUCAAAACCAAGGAAAAAACAGAAACUGGCACUGGGCUCUAUGUUAAUAGGUUAGUCCCAAAAAUCAUAUAAAAUACCAUGUAAAUGCAUAUAAAACAUCCUAGAUGGAUAAUAUAGUAGCAUGGAACAAUCAAAAAUUAUAGAUACAUUGGAGACGUAUCAGCCCCGGGUCUAUUUUCCAUUAUAUUAUUUUCCUAUCAUCUUGCUGUUUCUCUCGUUGUUUAUUUUGCAAUCUAUAUUUUCCAAUCUAUACAAUAAAAAUACCAAAAAUAUUUAUCUUAUUAUCUCUAUCAGAUCUCACUUUCGUAAGUGGCCGUGAAGGGAUUGACAACCCCUUUAUCGCGUUGGUUGCGAGGUUCUUGUUUGUUUGUGGAGGUACUAGGGACUUGCGUCUUAUCUCCUACUAGAUUGAUACCUUGGUUCUCAAAAACUGAGGGAAAUACUUACGCUACUUUUCUGCAUCACCCUUUCCUCUUCAAGAGAAAACCAACGCAUGCUCAAGAGGUAGCAAGAAGGAUUUCUGGCGCCAUUGCCGGGGAGGUUGCACAAAGUCAAGUCAAGAUUUGAUCUCCCGUAAACAAGCCAUUUCUGGUGCCUUUGUCGGGGAGAUCCACGCACAAGUCAAGACAUACCAAAUAACCAUCACAGACUCUUAUCCCUCGCAUUACAUUAUUUGCCAUUUGCCUCUCGUUUUCCUCUCCCCCACUUCACCCUUGCAGUUUUAUUCGCCCUCUUUUUUGUUCGCUCUUCUUCUUGCUUUUUGUUAGCCCGUUCUUUAUGCAAUUUGCUGCCAUCAUGUCUAAAAUUGGGGAGGUUAUCGUUGAUAAUGAUAGUGGUAGUAACAUGGAAAAUGUUGAUGCUUUUGAUUAUCCUCAUGAAGAACCUACUAUUUUGCACACUAAAAAGUUUCGGAUCGGUAGUGGUAAUAUUAUUGGAAAAGGAGUUAUUCAAGAUUUAUUUACUUGUGACGGUGCUUUACCCACUAUGUGAGGGUCUAUUCUUCACAGAACUAGUAGUUUUGCGGAUGCUAUAUCUUUGCUCAUAGUUGAACUUGAAAGACAAUUUAUUCAUAUGCACACUUGCAUACAAAAGACGACAAUACCUAGAUCUAUUCUUGUUUUUAUGCCUUGCUAGGGGCGUUAAACGAUAGCGCUUGUUGGGAGGCAACCCAAUUUUAUUUUUGUUUAUUGUUUUUUGUUCCUAUUUAUUAAGAAAUAAUUCAUCUAGCUUAUGUUUAGAUGUGGUUUUAUGUUUGUAAUUAGUGUUUGUGCCAAGUAGAACCUUUGGGAAGACUUGGGGGAAGUCUUUGCGAUCUUGCUGUAAAAAACAUAAACUUUAGCGCUCACGAGAUUAGUUGCCAUUUUUUACUGGAGAAUGCAAUUAGGUUGAUUAUUUUUUCAGAUUAUUAAUAGACAAAUUCCUCAUGUCCACCAAUUUAUUUCAGAAUUUUUGGGGUUACAGAAGUAUUCUAAACCUAUAGAUUACUAUAGACUGUUCUGUUUUUGACAGAUUCUGUUUUUCGUGUGUUGUUUGCUUAUUUUGAUGAAUCUAUGGCUACUAUCGGGGGGUAUGAACCAUAGAGAAGUUGUAAUUCAGUAGGUUUAACACCAAUAUAAAUAAAGAAUGAGUUCAUUACAUUACCUUGAAGUGGUGGUUUGUUUUCUUUUACUAACGGGGCUCAUGAGAUUUUCUAUUGAGUUUUGUGUUGUGAAGUUUUCAAGUUUUGGGUAAAGAUUUGAUGGAUUUUGAAAUAAGGAGUGGCAAGAGCCUAAGAUUGGGGAUGCACAAGGCACCCCAAGGUAAAAUUCAAGGGCAACCAGAAGCCUAAGCUCGGGGAUGCCCUGGAAGGCAUCCCCUCUUUCGUCUUCGUCCAUCGGUAACUUUACUUGAUGCUAUAUUUUUAUUCACCACAUGAUAUGUGUUUUGCUUGGAGCGUCUUGUAUGAUUUGAGUGUUUUCUUUUUAGUUUACCACAAUCAUCCUUGCUGCACACACAUUUUGGAGAGACACACAUGAAUCAGAAUUUAUUAGAAUACUCUAUGUGCUUCACUUAUAUCUUUUGAGCUAGAUAAUUUUGCUCUAGUGCUUCACUUAUAUCUUUAAGAGCACGGUGGUGUUUUAUUUUAUAGAAAUUAUUGAUCUCUCAUUCUUCACUUAUAUUAUUUUAGAGUCUUUUAGAAUAGCAUGGUAAUUUACUUUGGCUAUAAAAUUAGUCAUAAUAUGAUAGGCAUCCAAGAUGGGUAUAAUAAAAACUUUCAUAAAAAGUGCAUUGAAUACUAUGAGAAGUUUGAUACUUGAUGAUUGUUGAUAUGAAUAUGGUGAUAUUAGAGUCAUGCUAGUUGAGUAGUUGUGAAUUUGAGAAGUACUUGUUCUAAAGUUUUUGAUUCCCGUAGCAUGCACGUAUGGUGAACUGUUAUGUGAUGAAGUCGGAGCAUGAUUUAUUUAUUGAUUGUCUUCCUUAUGAGUGGCGGUCAGGGACGAGCGAUGGUCUUUUCCUACCAAUCUAUCCCCCUAGGAGCAUGCGCGUAGUACUUUGUGUCAAUAACUAAUAGAUUUUUGCAAUAGGUAUGUGAGUUCUUUAUGACUAAUGUUGAGUCCAUGGAUUAUACACACUCUCACCCUUCCACCAUUGCUAGCCUCUCUAGUACCGCGCAACUUUCGCCGGUACCAUACACCCACCAUUACCUUCCUCAAAACAGCUACCAUACAUACCUAUUAUGGCAUUUCCAUAGCCAUUCCGAGAUAUAUUUCCAUGCAACUUACCACCGUUCCAUUUGUUAUGACAUGUUAGAUCAUUGUCAUAUUGCUUUGCAUGAUCGUGUAGUUGACAUCAUAUUUGUGGCAAAGUCACCUUUAUAAUUCUUUCAUACACGUCACUCUUGAUUCAUUGCAUAUCCUGGUACACAGCCGGAGGCAUUCACAUAGAGUCAUAUUUUGUUCUAGUAUCGAGUUGUAAUUUUUGAGUUGUAAGUAAAUAAAAGUGUGAUGAUCAUCAUUAUUAGAGCAUUGUCCCAAGUGAGGAAAGGAUGAUGGCGACUAUGAUUCCCCCACAAGUCGGGAUGAGACUCCGGACGAAAAGAAAAAAAGAGGGAAAAAAGAGGCCAUAAAAAAAGAGGAAAAGGCUCAAAUAAAAAAAUGAGAGAGAAAGAGAGAAAGGACAAUGUUACUAUCCUUUUACCACACUUGUGCUUCAAUGUAGCACCAUGAUCUUCAUGAUAGAGAGUCUCCUAUGUUGUCACUUUCAUAUACUAGUGGGAAUUUUACAUUAUAGAACUUGGCUUGUAUAUUCCAAUGAUGGGCUUCCUCAAAAUGCCCUAGGUCUUCGUGAGCAAGCGAGUUGGAUGCACACCCACUUAGUUUAUUUUGUUGAGCUUUCAUACACUUAUAGCUCUAGUGCAUCUGUUGCAUGGCAAUCCCUGCUCACUCACAUUGAUAUCUAUUGAUGGGAAUCUCCAUAGCCCGUUGAUACGCCUAGUUGAUGUGAGACUAUCUUCUCCCUUUUUGUCUUCUCCACAACCACCAUUCUAUUCCACAUAUAGUGCUAUGUCCAUGGCUCAUGCUCAUGUAUUGCGUGAAGAUUGAAAAAGUUUGACAACAUCAAAAGUAUGAAACAAUUGCUUGGCUUGUCAUUGGAGUUUUGCAUGAUUAAAUACUUUGUGCGAUGAAGAUAGAGCAUAGCCAGACUAUAUGAUUUUGUAGGGAUAACUUUCUUUGGCCAUGUUAUUUUGAGAAGACAUGAUUACUUUGUUAGUAUGCCUAAAGUAUUAUUAUUUUUAUGUCAAUAUUAAACUUUUGUCUUGAAUCUUUCGGAUCUGAAUAUUCAUGCCACAAUAAACAAAAUUACAUUGAGAAUUAUGUUAGGUAGCAUUCCACAUCAAAAAUAAUGUUUUUAUCAUUUACCAACUCGAGGACGAGCAUGAAUUAAGCUUGGGGGUGCUUGAUACGUCUAAUGUAUCUAUAAUUUUUGAUUGUUCCAUGCUAUUAUAUUAUCUGGUUUGGAUGUUUAAUGGGCUUUAAUAUACUUUUUUAUAUUAUUUUUGGGACUAACCUACUAACCAAAGGCCCAGUGCAAAUUGUUGUCUUUUGCCUAUUUCAGUGUUUCGCAGAAAAGGAAUAUCAAACAGAAUCCAAACGGAAUGAAACCUUCGGGGGAGUUAUUUUUGGAACAAACGCAAUCCAGGAGACUUGGAGUGGACGUCAAGGAAUAAACAAGGUGACCACGAGGUAGGAGGGUGCGCCCAGGGGGUAGGCGCGCCCCCACCCUCGUGGGCCCCUCGUGGCUCCGGCGACCUACUUCUUCGCCUAUUUAUACUCAUAUACGCCGAAAAUAUCCGAGAGCACCACGAAACCCUAUUUCCACGGCCGCAACCUUCUGUGCCCAUGAGAACCCAUCUUGGGGCCUUUUCCGGUGCUCCGUCGGAGGGGGAAUCGAUCACGGAGGGCUUCUACAUCAACACCAUAGCCUCUCCGAUGAUGUGUGAGUAGUUUACCACAGACCUUCAUGUACAUAGUUAUUAGCUAGAUGGCUUCUUCUCUCUCUUUGGAUCUCAAUACAAAGUUCUCCUCGAUUCUCUUGGAGAUCUAUUCAAUGUAAUUCUUUUUGCGGUGUGUUUGUCGAGAUCCGAUGAAUUGUGGGUUUAUGAUCAAGAUUAUCUAUGAACAAUAUUUGAUUCUUCUCUGAAUUCUUUUAUGCAUGAUUUAAUAUCUUUGCAAGUCUCUUAGAAUUAUCAGUUUGGUUUGGCCUACUAGAUUGAUCUUUCUUGCAAUGGGAGAAGUGCUUAGCUUUGGGUUCAAUCUUGAGGUGUCCUUUCCCAGUGACAGCAGGGGCAGCAAGUCACGUAUUGUAUUGUUGCCAUCGAGGAUAAAAAGAUGGGGUUUAUAUCAUAUUGCUUGAGUUUAUCCCCCUACAUCAUGUCAUCUUGCCUAAUGUGUUACUCUGUUCUUAUGAACUUAAUACUCUAGAUGCAUGCUAGAUAGCGGUCGAUGUGUGGAGUAAUAGUAGUAGAUGCAGAAUCGUUUUGGUCUACUUGUUGCGGACGUGAUGCCUAUAUACAUGAUCAUGCCUAGAUAUUCUCAUAACUAUGCGUUUUUCUAUCAAUUGCUCGACAGUAAUUUGUUCACCCACCAUAGAAUUUGCUAUCUUGAGAGAAGCCACUAGUGAAACCUAUGGCCCCCGGGUCUGUUUUCCAUUAUAUUAUUUUCCUAUCAACUUGCUAUUUCUCUCGUUGUUUAUUUUGCAAUCUUUAUUUUCCAAUCUAUACAAUAAAAAUACCAAAGAUAUUUAUCUUAUUAUCUCUAUCAGCUCUCACUUUCGUAAGUGACCGUGAAGGGAUUGACAACCCCUUUAUCGCAUUCGUUGCGAGGUUCUUGUUUGUUUGUGCAGGUACUAGGGACUUGCGUGUUACCUCCUACUGGAUUGAUACCUUGGUUCUCAAAAACUGAGGGAAAUACUUAUGCUACUUUGCUGCAUCACCCUUUCCUCUUCAAGGGAAAACCAACGCAUGCUCAAGAGGUAGCACGUCUACUGAGAAAUACUUCCAACAAAUCCAUGCCAGUCACGCCAUCAGGAACCAGUUGGACUACCCGGUCGACUAGCAUGGACACCUCUCCCUUCUCUAUUGGGGUCACGAUAAGCGAAGAGGGUUGGCGGACUCGGUCCAUGGUGAAGGGGGAAGACUGGUCGACUGACCGGGAGUCGAAACGUCUCGGCAGUAGAACCAGGUCGACUGCCACCCUCUAACUCAGUCGGGAAGGGUCAUGGCUGGAAAAGUACUCAUAUCCCUUGUCUGAAUCCCUAAACCCCCUCACAUUUGGAUCACGUGCAUAUUUUCGUCAUUCGGAUUUGCCUUCUUCACAGACUAAGAGCGCCAAGUAGAGAUCUGCUUGAACAAACCCCAAUGUGGUCGACAGCCCAGGAAGUUUUCACACAGAGAGAUGUAGGCGACGAGAUAUGUGAUUGUGUUGGGGGAGAAGUGAUGAAGUUGAGCACCAAAAAAAUUCAAGAAACCCGGAAAAAUGGAUGUGGAGGUAGACUGAAACCGCGGUCGACAUGAGUGGCAAGGAGGACGCACUCACCCUCCUGUGGCUGAGGCUCGGUCUCGUUCCCCAGCAGCCUCCAAGACCCCUGGGCGAUCAGGCCUCUGUUGGCCAUGUCCUCCAAGUCCUCCUUCUGGAUCGCGGAGCGGAUCCAGUCCCCUUGGAUCCAACCAGGCCGCAGACCGGACCUCGACGAUGACCACCGACUCGUCUUCUUGCCCUUCACCGCCGCCGCCUUCUUGCGCUACAGGGCCACCGUCUUGUCCUUUCCCAUGGCGACGGAGUGUGUAGGUGAACAUAGACGGCAAAGAGGGCGGAGAGUGCGGUGGAGAAGCGGGGGAAGAAGGGGACGAUUGGGCUGUUGGGGAACGCAGUAUUUAAAAACAUUACCUACGAUCACGCAAGAUCUAUCUAGGAGAUGCAUAGCAACGAGAGGGGAGAGUGUGUCUACGUACCCUCGUAGACUGAAAGCGGAAGCGUUUAGUAACGCGGUUGAUGUAGUCGAACGUCUUCGCGAUCCAACUGAUCCAAGUACGAACGUACAGCACCUCUGCGUUCAGCACACGUUCAGCUCGAUGACGUCCCUCGGGCUCUUGAUCCAGUUGAGGCCGAAGGAGAGUUCCGUCAACACGACGGCGUGGCGAUGGUGAUGAUGAAGUUACCGGCGUAGGGCUUCACCUAAGCACUACGACGAUAUGACCGAGGUGUGUAACUGCGGAGGGGGCACCGUACACGGCUAAGACAAAUCUUGGAGUGCCUUUAGGGUGCCCCCUGCCCAUGUAUAUAAAGGAGGGAGGAGGAGGCCGGCCUAUGAGGGCGCGCCUAUAGGGAGAGUCCAACUAGGAUUCCCAAUCCUAGUUGGAGUCCCCUUCCUUUUUCCAAGAAGGGAGUGAGGGAAGGAGUAGGAGAGGGAGAAGGAAAGAGAGGGGGUGCCGCCCCCUCCCGAGUCCAAUCCGUACUUGCCAUGGGGGGCGGCCAACCCUUGAGGCCCUUCUCUCCUUUCCCGUAUGGCCCAUUAAGGCCCACUACUUCCCCCGGCGAAUUCCCGUAACUCUCCGGUACUUCGAAAAAUACCCGAAUCACUCAGAACCUUUUCGAUGUCUGAAUAUAGCCUUCCAAUAUAUCGAUCUUUACGUAUCGACCAUUUUGAGACUCCUCGUCAUGUCCGUGAUCUCAUCCGGGACUCGGAACAACCUUCAGUACAUCAAAUCACAUAACUCAUAAUGUAAAUAGUCAUCAAACAUUAAGCGUGCGGACCCUACAGGUUUGAGAACUAUGUAGACAUGACCGAGACACAUCUCCGGUCAAUAACCAAUAGCGGAACCUAGAUUCUCAUAUUGGAUCCUACAUAUUCUAUGAAGAUCUUUAUCGGUCAAACCGCAUAACAACAUACAUUGUUCCCUUUGUCAUCGGUAUGUUACUUACCCGAGAUUCGAUUGUUGGUAUCAUCAUACCUAGUUCAAUCUCAUUACCGGCAAGUCUCUUUACUCGUUCUGUAAUGCAACAUCCCGCAACUAACUCAUUAGCCACAUUGCUUGCAAGGCUUAUAGUGAUGUGCAUUACCGAGAGGGCCCAGAGAUACCUCUCCGACAAUCGGAGUGAGAAAUCCUAAUCUCGAUCUAUGCCAACUCAACAAACACCAUCGGAGACACCUGUACAGCAUCUUUAUUAUCACCCAGUUACAUUGUGAUGUUUGAUAGCACACAAGGUGUUCCUUCGGUAUUCGGGAGUUGCAUAAUCUCAUAGUCAGAGGAACAUGUAUAAAUCAUGAUGAAAGCAAUAGAAAUAAAACUAAACGAUCAUUUAUGCUAAGCUAACUAAUGGGUCUUGUCCAUCAAAUCAUUCUCUAAUGAUGUGAUCCCGUUCAUCAAAUGACAACACAUGUCUAUGGUCAGGAAACUUCACCAUCUUUGAUUAAUGAGCUAGUCGAGUAGAGGCAUACUAGGGACACUCUGAUUUGUCUAUGAAUUCACACAUGUACUAAGUUUCCGGUUAAUACAAUUCUAGCAUGAAUAAUAACCAUUUAUCAUGAUAUAAGGAAAUAUAAAUAACAACUUUAUUAUUGCCUCUAGGGCAUAUUUCCUUCAGUCUCCCACUUGCACUAGAGUCAAUAAUCUAGUUCACAUCACCAUGUGAUUAACACCAAUAGUUCACAUCUUUAUGUGAUUAGUUCACAUCUCCAUGUGACUAAUACCCAAAGGGUUUACUAGAGUCAAUAAUCUAGUUCACAUCGCUAUGUGAUUAACACCCAAAGAGUGAUCAUGUUUUGCUUGUGAGAGAAGUUUAGUCAACGGGUCUGCCACAUUUAGAGCCAUGUGUAUUUUGCAAAAUUUCUAUGUCUAUAAUGCUCUGCACGGAGCUACUCUAGCUAAUCGCUACCACUUUCAAUAUGUAUCUAGAUCGAGACUUAGAGUCAUCCAGAUUGGUGUCAAACCUUGCAUCGACGUAACUCCUUACGAUGAACUCUUUGACGCCUCCAUAACCGAGUAACAUUUCCUUAUUCCACUAAGUAUAAUUUUGACCAUUGUUCAAUGAUCCACUCCUAGAUCACUAUUGUACCCUCUUGCCAAACUCAUGGUGAGGUACACAAUAGGUCUAGUAAAGAUCAUAGCAUACUUUAUAGAACCUAUGACUGAGGCAUAGGGAAUGACUUUUCAUUCUCUUUCUAUUUUCUGUUGUGGUCGGGUUUUGAGUCUUUACUCGACUUCACACCUUGCAACAUAGGCAGGAACUCCUUCUUUGACUGUUCCAUUUUGAACUACUUCAAAAACUUGUCAAGGUAUGUACUCAUUGAAAAAAUUUAUCAAGUGUCUUAAUCUAUCUCUAUAGAUCUUGAUGCUCAAUAUGUAAGCAGCUUCACCAAGGUCUUUCUUUGAAAAAACUCCUUUCAAACACUCCUUUAUGCUUUCCAGAAAAUUCUACAUUAUUAACGAUCAACAAUAUGUCAUUCAGAUAUACUUAUCAGAAAUGCUAUAGUGCUCCCACUCACUUUCUUGUAAAUACAGGCUUCACCGCAAGUCUGUAUAAAACUAUAUGCUUUGAUCAACUCAUCAAAGCGUAUAUUCCAACUCCGAGAUGUUUGCACCAGUCCACAGAUGGAUCGCUGGAGCUUGCACACUUUGUUAGCACCUUUAGGAUUGACAAAACUUUCUUGUUGUAUCAUAUACAACUCUUCUUUAAGAAAUCCAGUAAGGAAUGUACUUUUGACAUCCAUUUGCCAGAUUUCAUAAAAUUUGGCAAUUGCUAACAUGAUUCGGACAGACUUAAGCAUCGCUACGAGUGAGAAAAAUCUCAUCAUAGUCAACACCUUGAACUUGUCGAAUUUUUUUGCAACAAUUCGAGCUUUGUAGAUAGUAACACUACUAUCAGCAUCCGUCUUCCUCUUGAAGAUCCAUUUAUUCUCAAUGGCUUGUCGAUCAACGGGCAAGUCCACCAAAGUCCACACUUUGUUCUCAUACAUGGAUUCUAUCUCAGAUUUCAUGGCCUUAAGCCAUUUUGCGGAAUCUGGGCUCAUCAUCGCUUCCUCAUAGUUCGUAGGUUCAUCAUGGUCAAGUAACAUGACCUUCAGAACAGGAAUACCAUACCACUCUGGUGCGGAUCUUACUCCGGUUGACCUACGAGGUUCGGUAGUAACUUGAUCAGAAGUUUUCAUGAUCAUCACCAUUAGCUUCCUCACUAAUUGGUGUAGGAAUCACUGAAACUAAUUUUUGUGAUGAACUACUUUCCAAUAAGGGAGCAGGUACAAUUACCUCAUCAAGUUCUACUUUCCUCCCACUCACUUCUUUCGAGAGAAACUCCUUCUCUAGAAAGGAUCUGCUCUUAGCAACAAAGAUCUUGCCUUCAGAUCUGUGAUAGAAGGUGUACCCAACUGUUUCUUUUGGGUAUCCUAUGAAGACGCACUUCUCCGAUUUGGGUUUGAGCUUAUCAGGUUGAAACUUUUUCACAUCAGCAUCACAACCCCAAACUUGAAGAAACGACAGCUUAGGUUUCUUGCUAAACCACAGUUCAUAUGGUGUCGUCUCAACGGAUUUUUAGACGAUGCCCUAUUUAAUGUGAAUGUAGCUGUCUCUAAUGCAUAACCCCAAAACGAUAGUGGUAAUUCAGUAAGAGAUAUCGAUAGAUUGCACCAUAUCUAAUGAAGUACGGUUAUGACGUUCGGACACACCAUUACAAUGUGGUGUUCCAGGUGGCGUGAGUUGCAAAACUAUUCCACAUUGUUUCAAAUGAAGACCAAACUCGUAACUCAAAUAUUUGUUUCCGUGAUCAGAUCGUAGAAACUUUAUUUUCUUGUUACGAUGAUUUUCCACCUCACUCUGAGAUUCUUUGAACUUUUCAAAUGUUUCAGACUUAUGUUUCAUCAAGUAGAUAUACCCAUAUCUGCUCAAAUCAUUUGUGAAGGUCAGUAAAUAAUGAUACCCGCCGCGAGCCUCAACACUCAUUGGACCGCACACAUCAGUAUGUAUUAUUUCCAACAAGUCUGUUGCUCGCUCCAUUGUUCCGAAGAACGGAGUCUUAGUCAUCUUGCCCAUGAGGCAUGGUUCACAAGCAUCAAGUGAUUCAUAAUCAAGUGAUUCCAAAAGUCCAUCAGAAGAGUUUCUUCAUGCGCUUUACACCAAUAUGACCUAAACGGCAGUGCCACAUAUAGGUUGCACUAUCAUUAUUAACUUUGCAUCUUUUGGCUUCAAUAUUAUAAAUAUGUGUAUCACUAUGAUCGAGAUUCAAUAAACCAUUUAUAUUGAGUGUAUGACCAUAGAAGGUUUUAUUCAUGUAAAUAGAACAACAAUUAUUCUUUGACUUAAAUGAAUAACCGUAUUACAAUAAACAUAAUCCAAUCAUAUUUAUGCUCAACACAAACACCAAAUAACAUUUAUUUUAGGUUCAACUCUAAUCCCAAAAGUAAAGGGACUGUGCGAUGGUGAUCUUAUCAACCUUGGAAUCACUUCCAACUCACAUCAUCACCUUGCCUUUAACUAGUCUCUGUUUAUUUUGCAACUCCCAUUUCGAGUUACUACUCUUAGCAACUGAACCAGUAUCAAAUACUGAGGGGUUGCUAUAAACACUAGUAAAGUACACAUCAAUAACAUGUAUAUCAAAUAUACCUUUGUUCACUUUGCCAUCCUUCUUAUCCGCCAAGUAUCUAGGGAAGUUCCACUUCCAGUGACCAUUUCCUUUGCAGUAGAAGCACUCAGUUUCAGGCUUGCGUCUACCUUUGGGCUUCUUCAUGGGAGUGGAAACUUGCUUUCCAUUCUUCUUGAAGUUCCCUUUCUUUCCCUUGCCCUUUUACUUGAAACUAGUGGUCUUGUCAACCAUCAACAGUUGAUGCUUUUCUUGAUUCCUACCUUCGCUGAUUUCAGCAUCGCGAAGAGCUCGGGAAUCAUUUUUCGUCAUUCCUUACAUAUUAUAGUUCAUCACGAAGUUCCAGUAACUUGGCGAUAGUGACUAGAGAACUCUGUCAAUCACUAUCUUGUCUAGAAGAUUAACUGUCACUUGAUUCAAGUGAUUGUAGUACUCAGACAUUCUGAGCACAUGCUCACUGGUUGAGCUAUUCUCCUCCAUCUUGUAGGCAAAGUACUUGUCAGAGGUCUCAUACCUCUCAACUCGGGCAUGAUUCUGAAAUACCAAUUUCAGCUCUUGGAACAUCUUAUAUGCUCCGUGGUGUUCAAAACAUUUUUGAAUUACUGGUUCUAAGCCGUAAAGCAUGGCGCACUAAACUAUCAAGUAACCAUCACAUCGAGCUUGCCAAAAGUUCAUAACGUCUGCAUCUGCUCCUGCAAUAGGUCCAUCACCUAGCAGUGCAUCAAGGACAUAAUUCUUCUGUGCAGCAAUGAGGAUAAUCCUCAGAUCACAGAGCUAGUCCGCAUCAUUGCUACUAACAUCUUUCAACAUAGUUUUCUCUAGGAAUAUAUCAUAAAUAAAACGGGGAAGCUAUACGCGAGCAAUUCAUUUACAACAUAGAUAUGCAAAUACUAUCGGGACUAAGUUCAUGAUAAAUUGGAGUUUAAUUAAUCAUUUUACGUAAGAACUCCCACUUAGAUAGACAUCCCUCUAAUCAUCUAAGUGAUCACGUGAUCCAUAUCAACUAAACCAUGUCCGAUCAUCACGUGAGAUGGAGUAGCUUUCAAUGGUGAACAUCAAUAUGUUGAUCAUAUCUACUAUAUGAUUCACGCUCGACCUUUCGAUCUCCGUGUUCCGAGGCCAUAUCUGCAUAUGCUAGGCUCGUCAAGUUUAACUCGAGUAUUCUACGUGUGCAAAACUGGCUUGCACCCGUUGUAUGUGAACGUAGAGCUUAUUAUCGGUGUCAAAACCGGUGGAUCUCGGGUAGGGGGUCCCGAACUGUGUGUCUAAGGUUGAUGGUAACAGGAGACAGGGGACACGAAGUUUUACCCAGGUUCGGACCCUCUUGAUGGAGGUAAUACCCUACGUCCUGCUUGAUUGAUAUUGAUAAGUAUGAGGGUUACAAGAGUUGAUCUACCACGAGAUCGUAAUGGCUAAAACCCUAGAAGUUUGGCAUGUAAGAUUAUGAUUGCCCCUAUGGACUAAACCCUCUGGUUUAUAUAGACACCGGAGGGGACUAGGGUUGUACAACCUCAGUUACAAAGAAAGGAAUCUUCUAUCUGAACGCCAGGCUUGCCAUCCACGCCAAGGAGAGUCCCAUCCGGACACGGGAGAGAGUCUUAUUUCUUGUAUCUUCAUAGCCCAUUAGUCCGGCCCAUGUCCAACAGGUCGGAUGCCCAAGGACCCCUUAAUCCAGAACUCCCUCAGUAGCCCUUGAACCAGGCUUCAAUGAUGAGGUGUCCGGCGCGCAGAUUGUCUUCGGCAUUGCAAGGCGGGUUCCUCCUUCGAAUACUCCAAAACAGCUCUCGAGUGUCCGGCUUUGUAAAACAAACACCACGCAUAUCCGCAGAGAGUAUAAUAUUUUAUGAGUCCAAUCCACUGACAACUUUGUAGCGUGACAUCACGUCAUAGCCCGGUCAUUAUUUCAAACUGUUUUCUAGCCUCCCGCUCCAUGUUUCAAGAUGCGGUUUUAUUGGCACGUCUUGUCAAAGCAGAGAUCAUGUCCCCUUAUUACGGGAUUCUCAUCAAUACGGGCGUAGGUAAUACAAACGCGCCGCCUGCACGACCCUUGGGGAAUAGGCGAGUUUUAAGGUGAGUGGGGAGGUGCUUGAUAUUCACUACCUUUAUAAAGGGAUAAUGAUUCAUCUCGUUCACCCACGCCUUCCUUCUCUCUGCCCAUCCAUUCUCGAGCUCCAACGCCCAAGCCUCCAUCCUUUUCACCUCAAAAAAGCACUCCAGCCAUGUCCGGAUCUAGAGCGCAAGGCAAGUGGAUGGUUUCCUCUGUCAAGGAGAAGUACAUCACCAAGCUCCGGGAGGCUGGGUACUUAGCUAAGGAAAUCGCCCACCGGCUCCCGGCCAAGGGAUAGAUCGUCCCCACUCCGAAGCCCCAUGAGAGGGUCGUGUUCAUCCCCCAUUUCAUCCGCGGGUUGGGAUUUCCUCUCCACCCAUUCGUCAGCGGACUCAUGUUCUACUACGGGCUGGAUUUCCAUGAUCUGGCCCCCAACUCCUUCCUCAAUAUCUCGGCAUUUAUUGUCGUGUGCGAGGCCUUCCUCUGUAUCCCACCCCACUUCGGGCUGUGGUUGAAGGUCUUCAACGUGAAGCCGAGGUGGUGGAUGGCCAACAUGCGGAGUGCGGAGGCGCCAUGGUGAGCAAGCUUCCCAAUGUCACAUGGCCAAAAGGUACCUUCAUGGAGACCAUCAAAGGGUGGCAACAGCAGUGGUUCUACGUCACAGAACCUCGCGACGCCACCUGGGCCGCGACUGCUGAAUUCCAGUCCGGUGCCCCGAUGCGGCUCACCUCCUGGCUAGAGAAGAGCCUGGACUGGUCUUCGUCGGACGAGAUGACAGUGCUUCAGACGCGCAUCAGGAGCAUGGUGGACAAGAACGUCAAGCUUGUCAAUGUGAUCCAGGUGAUGCUCGCUCGUCGGAUCCUUCCAUGCCAAAGCCGGACUUGCCACUUGUGGGAAUUCGAUCCGGCCAAGCACCAGACCUUGCAACAGUUCUUCGACACUACACAUGAAGACAUCUGGAAGGUGCUCUUCGAGGCCAAUGAGACGUGGCCGGCGACGACCGAGGACCGUGGGCACGACCUUGCCCAUCCCGCCAGUGCGGUAAGUUUCCCGUGUUUCAAGGUGUAUCCUUUACUUGCUUACUCAAGGAAGAUGUCUAAGCUUCCCUAUUUGUUUUCUCAGGGCUGGACAAAGAAGGCGGAGCGGAUUCGGCGUCCGGCUCCGCUACCCGAAGAACCAGCUAUCCCGCUUCUGAUGAAGAUGCUGGUUCCGGCGCCCUAUCAAGCAUCGGAGAAGAAGGACAAGAAGGAGGCCAAUGGGCCCAAAGGUAGUCUCCGCCAUAAGGGCACUUCAGACGUGACGUCCGAAGACAUCAAAACCCACUCCCCUCCUGUCACCGACGACGAGGAAGAGGAGGAGAGAAAUUCUCCCCCGGAGGGGGGAGGGCAGAAGAGGGCGUCCUCCACGCAUCUGGAGCCGGUGGCGUCCAAAAAGGGGAAGGCCUCCGCCGUGGACAACUCCGCGUGGGACAUUGAUAGCAGCUCCGAGUGGCGCCCUAGGGAUAAGCCCCUGGCCGAAUCGUGAGUACUCAAAGGCACUAGCGCGUUCAUAUACCCAGCCUCUUUACUUCAUAAUUUUAACAUGUUAAAUCAUACACUUGCAGUCCGGCUCGUUCCGACCUCGAGCGGUCCUCAUCUUUGGGAAAAUCGCUAGAUCCAAAGGUGAUGGACAGCGGGUCCCUUCCGACGGCCUCCUCUCCCAAGACUAUGGAGGACGCUGAAGGUGUUGUCCCGAAGGACCCUCCCGGCUCAGGAGGAGGCACAGGAGGCCGUCACGGUGGCGCCGGAGGAUGAUACCUCGGCCGCCGGACACAAGGGGGAGUAGAUCUCCAUGGAGACUGGCAAUGGGGGCCAUAUUGAUGCGUCUCUGUCGUAUCUAUAAUUUUUGAUUGUUCCAUGCCAAUAUUAUACAACUUUCAUAUACUUUUGGCAAAUUUUUAUACUAUUUUUGGGACUAACAUAUUGAUCCAAUGCCCAGCGCCAGUUCCUAUUUGUUGCAUAUUUUUUGUUUCAUAGAAAAUCCAUAUCAAACGGAGUCCAAAGGGAUAAAAACUGGCGGAGAUUUUUUUGCAAUAUAUGUGAUUUUUGGGAAGAAGAAUCAACACAAGACGAUGCCCCAGGGGGCCACGAGGCAGGGGCGUGCCCCAGGGGGUUAGGCACGCCCUGGGCCCUCGUGUCCACCCCGUAAGGCGGUUGGUGCCCUUCUUUCGGUGCAAGAAAGCCAAUAUCCAGAUAGAAAUCGUGUUAAAAUUUCAGCCCAAUCGGAGUUACGGAUCUCCGGGAAUAUAAGAAACGGUGAAAGGCCAGAAUCUGAAACGCAGAAACAGAGAGAGACAGAGAGACAGAUACAAUCUCGGAGGGGCUCUCGCCCCUCCCAUGCCAUGGAGGCCAUGGACCAGAGGGGAAACCCUUCUCCCAUCUAGGGAGAAGGUAAAGGAAGAAGAAGAAGGGGGGCCCUCUCCCCCUCUCUCCCGGUGGCGCCGGAACGCCGCCGUGGCCAUCAUCGUGUGACGGCGAUCAACACCAACACCUCCGUCAUCUUCACCAACAUCUUCAUUACCUUCCCCCAUCUAUCUACAGCGGUCCACUCUCCUGCAACCCGUUGUACCCUCUACUUGAACAUGGUGCUUUAUGCUUCAUAUUAUUAUCCAAUGAUGUGUUGCCAUCCUAUGAUGUCUGAGUAGAUUUUCGUUGUCCUAUCAGUAAUUGGUGAAUUACUAUGAUUGAUUUAAUUUGCUUGUGGUUAUGUUGAUGUCCUUUGGUGCCCAUCAUAUGAGCGCGCGCGUGGAUCGCACCAUGGGGUUAGUUGUAUGUUGAUAGGACUAUGUAUUGGAGGGCAAGAGUGACAGAAGCUUCAACCUAGCAUAGAAAUUGAUGCAUACGGGAUUGAAGGGGGACCAAUAUAUCUUAAUGCUAUGGUUGGGUUUUACCUUAAUGAACGUUAGUAGUUGCAGAUGCUUGCUAAUAGUUCCAAUCAUAAGUGCAUAGAAUUCCAAGUCAGUGAUGGCAUGCUAGCAGUGGCCUCUCCCACAUAAAACUUGCUAUCACUCUAGUAAAGUAGUCAAUUGCUUAGGGACAAUUUUGCAACUCCUACCACCACUUUUCCACACUCGCUAUACUAACUUUAUUGCUUAUUUACCUAAAACAGACCCUAGUUUUUAUUUACGUGCUCUUUAUAUUCUUGCAAACCUAUCCCGUUACACCUACAAAGUACUUCUAGUUUUAUACUUGUUUUAGGUAAAGCGAACAUCAAGCAUGCGUAGAGUUGUAUCGGUGGUCGAUAAAACUUGAGGGAAUAUUUGUUCUACCUUCAGCUCCUCCUUGGGUUCGACACUCUUACUUAUCGAAAGAGGCUACAAUUGAUCCCAUAUACUUGUGGGUUAUCAAGACCUUUUUCUAGCACCGUUGCCGGGGAGUUAUAGCAUGGGGUGAAUAUUCUCGUAUGUGCUUGUUUGCUUUAUCACUAAGUAGUUUUUAUUUUGUGUUCUUGUUUUCUAUCUUUAGUUAUGGGUAGGAAACACAAAAUAUCAAAAAAAAAUUAGUGGUACCUACUGAACCAAUGGUUGAAGAACCACUCAAAAUCUAUCACACUAUUGAAGCUUUUUACUUGGAUCAUCUUCGAUCCCUACGUGCUCGGGCUGAAACCCCAACUAGCUUAGUUGAGGGCAAAUCUUUAGAUGAGCAUGCUUGUUAUGUGUGACACCGCUUAUCUCAAAAAGGGAAACUUUUGCUGGAUCAAAUUCAUUGUUUGCAAUGUUAUGCUUGGAAUUUAUGUGAAAUAUAUGAUUUUACUUGUUGUUCUGAAGACCCUAAGAAACACCUUCCCUACCAAUGUGAGUUUAGUGAUAAUGGAAUCGUAUCUUCGUAUGCUAAAGGUGUUUAUAAUUACUAUGAUGUUCAACAAAUUGAUGAAUUUGUUGCUUUUAAGGGUGCUUAUGAAAUUUCUUCUUUGAUUGGAAAGUAUGAUGCUACUCUUUACAAAUCUGAAAAAUUUGCCAUACUUAAAUAUUGUUAUGAUAAUUAUGCUUCUAAUGCCUAUGUUAAACCAUAUAUUGAGGAUUCCUCUGUUGUCCAAGAAGAGACUAGUAUUUUUCAGGAGUCAAUGGAAGAAGAAAUUAAUGACAUUGUGAGCUCAUUGGAUGAAAAAUAUGAGGAAGAGAGCGAAGAACAAAAGGAGGAAGAGCAGAUUGAUCACCCGUUUCCCACCAUCUAAUGAAACUAACUCUUUAACCCAUACAUUGUUUAAUUUCCCUUCGAAUCUACCGAAGGAUGAAUGCUAUGAUGAUUGUUAUGAACCCGUUGAUUCUUUUGAAAUAUCCCUUUUUGAUGAUGCUUGCUAUGCUUGUGGCCAAGAUGCCAAUAUGAAUUAUGCUUAUGGAGAUGAACUUGCUAUAGUUCCUUAUGUUAAACAUGAAAUUGUUGCUAUUGCACCCACGCAUGAUAGUCCUAUUAUCUUUUUAAAUUCUCCCGACUACACUAUAUCGAAGAAGUUUGCACUUAUUAAGGAUUAUAUUGAUGGGUUGCCUUUUACCAUUGCACAUGAUAAUUUUGAUGACUAUAAUAUGCAUGUGCUUGCUGCUCCUACUUGCAAUUAUUAUGAGAGAGGAACUACAUCUCCGCCUCUUUAUGUUUCCAACAUGAUAGAAUUGCAAGAAACUGCUUAUGCUAUGUAUUGGCCUUUACUUGAUGUGCAUGAAUUGUUCUUGUAUGACAUGCCGAUGCAUAGGAAGAGAGUUAGAAUUCGUCAUUGCUUGAUAUAUGUUACUUUGUGCUCACUACUAAAAUACAAAUCAUUGUUGAUUCAAAUUGGCUUUGAUAUACCUUGGGAUCCGGGUGGAUUCAUUACUUGAGCACUUUAUGCCUAGUUUAAUGGCUUUAAAGAAAGCGCUUCCAGGGAGACAACCCGGAAGUUUUAGAGAGUUAUUUAUUUCUAUUGAGUGCUUUUAUAAAGUUUAAAAACAAAAAAAUAAAGACAGUAACCCAAAACUUUUCAAAAAGGAAAGUGAAAGUGAGAGAGACAAGCAUUGUUGAAGUGGGGGAGCUCCUUGAACUUUGUUCAUGCUCACAGAAACUUUGUGAAUCUUGAUUACAGAAACUUUUCAACAAAAAUAAUUAUCCCCUUGUACAAUUCCAUUGUAUUAUAAAAAUAAUGUGCCAAGUUUUGCCUUUAGGAUGUUUACAUUGCUUGUUGGUUUGUGCGGUGCAGGACAGAAACUUUGGUUGUAAUGUGCGAUUUUACAUUUUUUACUAGAACGUCAAACAGUUCUGAAACUUUUUGCACUGUCUUGCUAUAAAAAAAAUAUUUUUCUUAAUUAUUUAAGAAUUUUUGGAGUAACAGAAGUAUGGUGAAUGUUCAGAUUAUUACAGACUGUCAUGUUUAAGACAGAUUGUGUUUUUGAUGCAUAGUUUGCUUGUUUUGAUGAAACUAUCGAUUUCUAUCAGUGGAUUAAGCCAUGGAGAAGUUAUAUUACAGUAGAUACAAUGAAAAAAACAAAAUAUGAAUUGGUUUGCAACAGUACUUAGAGUAGUGAUUUGCUUUAUUAUACUAACGGAUCUUACCGAGCUUACUGUUGAGUUUUGUGUGGAUGAAGUGUUCGAAGAUCGAGGAGGUCUCGAUGUGAGGAGAAGGAGGAGAGACAAGAUCCCAAGUUUGGGGAUGCCCAAGGCACGCCAAGUAAAUAUUCAAGGAGACUCAAGCGUCUAAGCUUGGGGAUGCCCCGGAAGGCAUCCCAUCUUUCUUCAACAAGUAUCGGUAUGUUUUCGGAUUCGUUUCGUUCAUGCGAUAUGUGCAAAUCUUAGAGCGUCUUUUGCAUUUAGUCUUCACUUUUCUUUGAUGCACCAUGCUGGUAUGAGAUAGUACAUGUUUGAUUUAUAGAAUGCUCGUUGCACUUCACUUAUAUCUUUUGAGUAUGGCUUUAUAGAAUGCUUCAUGUGCUUCGCUUAUAUCAUUUGAAGUUUGGAUUGCCUGUUUCUCUUCACAUAGAAAACCGCCAUUUGUAGAAUGCUCUUUUGCUUCACUUAUAUUUGUUAGAGCGUGGGCAUAUCUUUUGUAGAAAGAAUUAAACUCUCUUGUUUCACUUAUAUCUAUUUAGAGAGAUGACAGGAAUUGGUCAUUCACAUGGUUAGUCAUAAAAUCCUACAUAAAACUUGUAGAUCACUGAAUAUCAUAUGUUUGAUUCCUUGCAAUAGUUUUGCGAUAUAAAGGUGGUGAUAUUAGAGUCAUGCGUUAGGGUAGUUGUGGAUUGUAGAAAUACUUGUGUUGAAGUGUGUGAUUCCCGUAGCAUGCUCUAUGGUGAACCAUUAUGUAACGAAGUUGGAGUAUGAGGUAUUUAUUGAUUGUCUUCCUUAUGAGUGGCGGUCGGGGACGAGCGAUGGUCUUUUUCUACCAAUCUAUCCCCCUAGGAGCAUGCACGUAGUACUUUGUUUCGAUGACUAAUAUUUUUUUGCCAUAAGUAUGUGAGUUCUUUAUGACUAAUGUUGAGUCCAUGGAUUAUACGCACUCUCACCCUUCCAUCAUUACUAGCCUCUUCGGUACCGUGCAUUGCCCUUUCUCACCUUGAGAGUUGGUGCAAACUUCGCCAGUGCAUCCAAACCACGUGAUAUGAUACGCUCUAUCAUACAUAAGCCUCCUUAUAUCUUCCUCAAAACAGCCACCAUACCUACCUAUUAUGGUAUUUCCAUAGCCAUUCCGAGAUAUAUUGCCAUGCAACUUCCAUCAUCAUCAUAUACAUGACUUGAGCAUUCAUUGUCAUAUUGCUUUGCAUGAUCAUAAGAUAGAUAGCAUGAUGUUUUCAUGGUUUGUCCGUUUUUUAUGUCAUCGCUACGCUAGAUCAUUGCACAUCCUGGUGCACCUCCGGAGGCAUUCAUAUAGAGUCAUAUCUUUGUUCUAGUAUCGAGUUGUAAUAUUGAGUUGUAAGUAAAUAAAAGUGUGAUGAUCAUCAUUAUUAGAACAUUGUCCCAUGUGAGGUUAUCAAAAUAAAAGUGGCCAGAGAAGCCCCAAAAAAGAGAGAGAGGCCAAAGAAGCCUACAAAAAAAAGAAAAUAAAAAAAUGAGAGAAAAGAGAGAAGGGACAAUGUUACUAUCCUUUUACCACACUUGUGCUUCAGAUUAGCACCAUGUUCUUCAUAUAGAGAGUCUCUUGAGUUAUCACUCUCAUAUACUAGUGGGAAUUUUCAUUAUAGAACUUGGCUUGUAUAUUCCAACGAUGGGCUUACUCAAAUGCCCUAGGUCUUCAUGAGCAAGCAAGCUGGAUGCACACCCACUUAGUUUCAGUUUGGGCUUUCAUACAUUUAUAGCUCUUAGUGCAUCUGUUGCAUGGAAAUCCCUACUCCUCGCAUUGACAUCAAUUGAUGGGCAUCUUCAUAGCCCGUUGAUUAGCCGCGUCGAUGUGAGACUUUCUCCCUUUUUUGUCUUCUCCACACAACCUCCACCAUCAUAUUCUAUUCCACCUAUAGUGCUAUGUCCAUGGAUCAUGCUCAUGUAUUGCGUGAAAGUUGAAAAGGUUUGAGAACGUCAAAAGUAUGAAAUAAUUGCUUGGCUUGUCAUUGGGGUUGUGCAUGAUUUGAAUAUUUUGUGUGGUGAAGAUGGAGCAUAGUCAUACCAUAUGAUUUUGUAGGGAUAACUUUCCUUGCCCAUGUUAUUUUGAAAAGACAUGAUUGCUUUAUUAGUAUGCUUGAAGUAUUAUUGUCUUAAGGUCAAAUGAUAGACUAUUGCUUUGAAUCACUCGUGUCUUAAUAUUCAUUGCAUGAUAAGAUUACAUGAUCAAGAUUAUGCCAGGUAGCAUUCCACAUCAAAAAUUAUCUUUUUUAUCAUUUACCUACUUGAGGACAAGCAGCAAUUAAGCUUGGGGAUGCUGAUACGUCUCUGUCGUAUCUCUAAUUUUUUAUUAUUCCAUGCCAACAUUAUAGAAAUUUCAUAUACUUUUUUGCAAAUUUUUAUACUAUUUUUGUGACUAACAUAUUGAUCCAGUGCCCAGUGCCAGUUCCUGUUUGUUGCAUGUUUUUUGUUUCGCGGAAAAUCCAUAUCAAACGGAGUCCAACGGGAUAAAAAUUGACAGAGAUUUUUUUGGAAUAUAUGUGAUUUUUGGGAAGAAGAAUUAACGUGAGACGAUGCCCGAGGGGGACACGAGGCAGGGGGGCGUGCCCGAGGGGGGCAGGUGCGCCCUGGGCCCUCGUGGCCACCCCGUAAGGCGGUUGGUGCCCUUCUUUUGCCACAAGAAAGCCAAUAUCCAGAUAGAAAUCGUGUUAAAAUUUCAGCCCAAUCGGAGUUAGGAUCUCCGGGAAUAUAAGAAACGUUAAAAGGCCAGAAUCUGAAACGCCGAAACAGAGAGAGACAAAGAGACAAAUCCAAUCUCGGAGGGGCUCUCGCCCCUCCCAUGCCAUGGAGGCCAUGGACCAGAGGGGAAACCCUUCUCCCAUCUAGGGAGAAGGUCAAGUAAGAAGAAGAAGAAGAAGGGGGGCCCUCUCCCCCUCUCUCCCGGUGGCGCCGGAAUGCCGUCGGGGAAUCAUGUGACGGCGAUCUACACCAACACCUUCGUCAUCUUCACCAACAUCUUCAUAACCUUCCCCCAUCUAUCUACAUCUGUCCACUCUCCCGCAACCUGUUGUGCCCUCUACUUGAACAUGGUGCUUUAUGCUUCAUAUUAUUAUCCAAUGAUGUGUUGCCAUCCUAUGAUGUCUGAGUAGAUUUUCGUUGUCCUAUAGGUAAUUGAUGAAUUGCUAUGAUUGAUUUAAUGUGCUUGUGGUUAUGUUGAUGUCCUUUGGUUCCCAUCAUAUGAGCGCGCGUGUGGAUCACACCAUAGGGUUAGUUGUAUGUUGAUAGGACUAUGUAUUGGAGGGCAAGAGUGACAGAAGCUUCAACCUAGCAUAGAAAUUGAUGCAUACGGGAUUGAAGGGGGACCAAUAUAUCUUAAUGCUAUGGUUGGGUUUUACCUUAACGUUAGUAGUUGCGGAUGCUUGCUAAUAGUUCCAAUCAUAAGUGCAUAGAAUUCCAAGUCAGGGAUGACAUGCUAGUAGUGGCCUCUCCCACAUAAAACUUGUUAUCACUCUAGUAAAGUAGUCAAUUGCUUAGGGACAAUUUCGCAACUCCUACCACCACUUUUCCACACUCGCUAUACUAACUUUAUUGCUUCUUUACCUAAAAGAGCCCCUAGUUUUUAUUUACGUGCUCUUUAUAUUCUUGCAAACCUAUCCCGUUACACCUACAAAGUACUUCUAGUUUUAUACUUGUUCUAGGUAAAGCGAACGUCAAGUGUGCGUAGAGUUGUAUCGGUGGUCGAUAAACCUUGAGGGAAUAUUUGUUCUACCUUUAGCUCCUCGUUUGGUUCGACACUCUUACUUAUCGAAAGAGGCUACAAUUGAUCCCGUAUACUUGUGGGUUAUCACAUAUCCAAUUUGGCCCCAGCCGAAUACGAUCCCGGAGACCUAUACGACUCCAGAAUCCGGCAAGUAGCCUCCUUCGCAAGAAGGAGGUGCACCGAUUCCACCGGUGACCUCUGUCCAUCCAGAGGCACCGGAUACUCUACUGGAAGUGCUGCGAAGUGCUUCCAUUGUUGAGGAACACCGUACCCUCAUGGGUUUGGUGGUUUAGAGGAUUCUGUCCGCAAAGAGCGGACUGACCAAAGCGAGCACAAGCCUUCUAACAAGAUUUGAGGUAAGCGACGCAAUUGUAUAAAAAGAAUGUCAUAGUAUAGACAGUAGCCCCUGAGACUUUGUCCGGUGUCCGGAAAGAAAAGCCAGACAAAGGAUCAAGUAAUUUUCGCAGGAGACUAACAAAAUAUGUCUUAUGUGAAUAAGCAGGCGUCGUUGCUGGCUGCGACCUCUCAUGCUGCUGAGGUAUCCGGAAUAAAGCAGAGUCUGGAGCGAGCCGAGGAAGAUCUCGGUCGUGUAAAAAAGCAGUUAGAAGACAAGCAAGGUAUGCAAUGACCUUUUGUAUAUCCGGAAAGGAUGAAUGAUUUGUACUGACCAUAGUGCCAUAAUAUUUGUUAGGAGCGGCGACCGAGGUGGAGGCCCUCAAGAAGGCGCUGGCCGAGGCCGAGGAGAGAGCGGCAAAGGAACAGGCCGCCCGCAAAAAGCUUGAGGCCAGGGUCGGUGAGGUCCAGCAGGAUCUCCAGGACGCCGUGAAGAAAUACGAGUCCUUGGAGCGCAACGUUGCGGAUCAAGAGUACGAACUCACCAAGGCCCGCCAAAGCGCGCAUGAUACCCAGGUUGAAGCCCAGGGCACCCUCCAAGAAAUCCAGGAGGCUAGAAAAAUCGCGACGGGUAAGGCCUUUAUUAUGCAGAGCAAGUAUGUGAAGAAAAGGUUCCUCUUACUGACCCAGACUUGGAGUUCUCCAGGGGCAUUGUGGAUCUGCCGCGCAGUGUUGCCAACGCUGCGGAGUUCUUCCGAGCCGAAGAGGGGAGCUCGACGGAGAAGUUGUUCUGGUGGCAAUACCUUGCGCAAGAACAUCCGGUGCCCUUUAGCGACCAGUUAAAAUAGUUGGUCGAACUGCAUAGGGUGGCCGAACUAGCCAUGAAGGAUUUAAUAAUCCGGCUAUGGCCAGUCGAAGUCAUACCCAACAGCUACUUCGGGCUCGUGAAGAGACUGGUCAAUGCCUGCCUCCGGAUUGACGUCAUCAAGCGGUCAGUCUGCCUCGAAGGUGUGCGGAUGGCCUUCGCCCGUGUCAAGAUAUAGUGGGCGAAGAUGGAUGUCAUCAAGCUUGCGAUCGAGGGACCGCCCGCUGGCAAGGAGCACCGCACGCCAGUGCGGUAUUUUGAUGAUGUCCUCAAGGGACCCCGCAUUGUAGAGGUCCAGUGUUCAAAAGAUAUUAUCUUUGAAUGAGUACCUUCAUGUUAUCCCACUCUGUAUGAUGAAAACAAGAUUGAUAUGUAAUAUAAUGCUUGCUGUUUAUUUUGGAAUUUUACCUCCUAUGCGGCUGUUUAUUACAUCUGAGAGUUGGCCAGUCGUCGGCUUUAGCCCCCACGUAGGUAGUACGGGGGUGUUCGGAGUGGAAUCUAAACACUCUUGAUCCAAGAAUUUAGUCCUUGAAGGAGGUGUUUAGCGCAACAAACCAGGCAAUCGGACUAUGUGGCUUUAUUACCCUCACUUAGCCAUAGCAGUUUAACAAUAAAAAUGUAGGAGCAGCCCCUAGUUAGCAUUUAAUCUGGGCUAGGGUGCUUUAAACACCUGAUCGGAUGAAGGCCGAUUCAUUGCAAAAUGCGGAAAAUGGCAAAAGAUUUUUAACCUCCGAAGAGCUGACCGGCUCAGGCCGCAUCAUGACAGUCAGUUUUCGACUUUCUCUACUGAGGUGCUCAUCCGGAUAAAGGACACAAUCGCACUAGGUCUCCCUUUACUAUCCUAGCCGAUAGAGCGGAACAUAAGGUAGUAAGCACAGGAGUCGGGCAACCCAACUAUUGAAAAAAUACAUGAUUCUUAGCCGAUGCAUAUAAUGCUAAAUUCGAGGGCCGAACUAUACUGUAAAAGUGUUCGGACUUGCUGCCGUAGUAUGGAGCGCAAUAAAGCCCCUAGCGAAUUAUGUCGUACCAAAGUGUAUGGAUGCAGUCAAUGAGAAUAGCAAAAUAAAAUGAAGUAAAAAGCUAGUGCCACAUGAGUUAGGCCGCAAAUUGUUUUCAUUAUAAUUUUAAUUAAUACAUUAAAGCGUAUUUGUACAAAUAGUGCGAUAAGCAACAGGGCUAUUUAACAUGCCAAGACCAAGGGGGAGAUGCGUACAGGUCCUGAAAACAAGUAAAUGAUUGUUAAGAAGAACAUUUAGAGAUUCCCCCACACGUUUGUGCUACUUGCCACCUUGGUAUAUCCGUCCUUCGAGAGGACCGAUUAUCAGGCCGUCAAGAGGGGCCUGGCCGUCGAGAGGGGCGUGUGAAAAAUAAACCUAAAAAGGAUAGAAAGAAAAGUAAAAGUAUGUGUGUCCAGGGAAGGUCGAGCCAUGUUGUGGACCAGAGUCUGGUUAUGCCUCCAUCUCUGCCCAUGGUAUUUUUAGUGCAUAGUUAUGUACGCACGGUACGUAUGCCGCCACUUGGUCAGGACUGAGAUGAAGGCCGAAUUGCUAGUCGAGCUCCUGACAAGCUGGACUGUCCUGCUGCAGAGUAGUCCGGACUCGUGUGACAGUGUCCGGGAGCAUGGCCGCCGAAAUAAGGUUCUGCUUGUGAAGGCCGCUCUGUACUUCUACUGCCAGGGCCGCGUUGUGCUCCUUAGUACGAAGGGAGUGCUCCGUGUUUCCAUUGACUGUGAUGACACCACGUGGUCCGGGUAUCUUGAGCUUGAGAUAAGCAUAGUGUGGCACCGCAUUGAAUCGCGCGAAUGCAGUUCGUCCGAGCAGUGCGUGAUAGGCAUUACGGAAGGGGACGAUAUCGAAGAUUGACUCUUCGCUUCGGAAGUUGUCCGGAGAUCCGAAGAUGACCUCCAAUGUGAUUGAGCCCGUGCAAUGGGCCUCUACACUUGGUAUAACUCCUUUAAAGGUAGUUUUGGUGGGCUUGAUCCUUGAUGGAUCGAUGCCCAUUUUGCGCAUUGUAUCCUGAUAGAGCAGGCUGAGGCCGCUGCCACCGUCCAUGAGGACUCGUGUGAGGUGGAAUCCAUCAAUUAUUGGGUCAAGAACUAGUGUAGCUGAACCGCCAUGACGGAUACUGGUCGGAUGGUCCUUACGAUCGAAGGUGAUCGGGCAGGACGACCAUGGGUUGAAUUUUGGGGCGACUGGCUCUAUCGCAUAGACGUCCCUGAGCGCGCGCUUGCGCUUCCUCUUGGGGAUAUGGGUGACGUAUAUCAUGUUCACCGUUUUGACCUGGGGGGAACUUCUUCUAUCCCGCUGUGUUCGGCGGACAGGGCUCCUCGUCGUCAUUCUCGCUUUGCGACCCCUUCUCCUUCUCUUCAGCAUUUAAUUUGCCGGCCUGUUUAAAGACCCAACAGCUAUGGUGGGUAUGAUUGGCUGGUUUAUCAGGGGUGUCGUGGAUCUGACAUGGAUGAUCGAGUAUACGGUCCAAGCUGGAAGCAACCUGAUUAUUCCUUUUAUAUGACUUCUUCCGCUGACCGGACUUGGAGCCGCAGAAUCCGGCGUUGACAGUCGUGUCAUCAAUAUUGUCACCAUUGUUUUGACGCUUAUGCCUGUUGCAUCGGGUCUUACCGUUGCUAUUCCUGGUUUCGUAGGUGCCAGGUUCGCUUGCAUUAUUAUUGCUACGGGCUAGCCAACUAUAUUCGCCUGCACGAAGCGGGCCAUAAGUGUCGUGAGGGCCGCCAUGGACUUCAGCUUUUCUUGGCCGAGGUGCCGGGGGAGCCAUUCGUCGCAGAUGCUAUGCUUAAAGGCCGCUAGGGCUAAGGCAUUCGGGCAGUCGACGAUCUGGUUCUUUUUAGUUAAGAAUCUGGUCCAGAAUUUCCUGGCUGACUCUCUGGGCUGUUAGACUAUGUGACUUAGGUCAUCGGCAUCCGAAGAUCGGACGUAUGUGCCUUGGAAGUUGUCGCGGAAGGCGUCUUCCAGGUCCUCCCAGCUGCCAAUAGAGUUUUCAGGCACACUGUUCAGCUAAUGUCAGGCCGGUCCCUUGAGUUUUAGGGGGGGUAUUUGAUGGCAUGAAGAUCAUCACCGCGGGCCAUAUGAAUAUGGAGAAUAAAGUCUUCAAUCCAUACCACGGGAUUUGUUGUUCCAUCAUAUGAUUCGAUAUUCACGGGUUUGAACCCUUCUGGGAAUUCAUGCUCCAUUACUUCAUCAGUGAAGCAGAGGGGGGGUGCGGCGCCUCUAUAUCGGGCCAGAUCGCGAUGUAGUCCAGAUGGAGUCCGUCUGCGGUUUUCAGCCCGGACGUGAUUGUGCUUGUCAUGUUCGGCUUGAUAGCCGUCGUCGCGCGUCGGGGCACGCCCCUGCGAUCCGUAGAUCGAUCUGGCUGGACCUGCUUUAUUCUUCAGGUCCUGCCGCAUGUCAUAUGUAUGUUCCCGAGCUGUUUUAUCUCUGCCUUUACGAUGAGGUAGGACGGGCUGGUGUUUGGCUUGAGUUGCCGCUUUGUCCCAGCCAUGUGGUGGUCGAUCAGCCGCGUUAUGUGCUGAUGGUACGGGCUCAAGUGCCUCGUCAUCGAAUUGAGGUAGCAAUUUGCGCUUCGGGUAACUUUUGGUUGGGCGCUCGAGGUCGUAUUCCUCUGCUGCCAGGACAUUAGUCCAUCUAUCGUUGAGUAGAUCUUGAUCAGCUUGAAGCUGAUGUUGUUUCUUUUUCAGGCUCCUUGAAGUGGCUAUUAGCCGUUGCUUAAACCGCUCCUUGAUACGUCUCCAACGUAUCUAUAAUUUUUUAUUGCUCCAUGCUAUAUUAUAUACUGUUUUGAAUGUUUAUGGGCUUUAUUAUACACUUUUAUAUCAUUUUUGGGACUAACCUAUUAACCCAGAGCCUAGUGCCAGUUUUUACCCUGUUUUACGGUUUCAAAGAAAAGUAAAAUCAAACGGAUUCCAAUUGACCUGAAACUUCACGGAACUCAUUUUUGGAAGGAAAGAAGCCCAGAAGAAUUGGAGUGCACGUCAGGGGAUCUGCGAGGAGGUCACGAGGCAGGGGCCGCGCCCACCCCCUUGGGCGCGCCCUCCACCCUCGUGGGCCCCUCGUGCCCCCCCUGACGUAUUUUUUCCGCCUAUAUAUCUCCAUAUACCCUAAAAACAUCAGGGAGCACAAUAGAUCGGGAGUUCCGCCACCAGAAGCCUCCGUAGCCACCGAAAGCCAAUCUAGACCCGUUCCGGCACCAUGCCGGAGGGGGAAUCCUUCUCCGGUGGCCAUCUUCAUCAUCCCGGUGUUCUCCAUGACGAGGAGGGAGUAGUUCUCCCUCGGGGCUGAGGGUAUGUACCAGUAGCUAUGUGUUUGAUCUCUCUCUCUCUCAUGUUCUUGAUUUGGCACGAUCUUGAUGUAUCGCGAGCUUUGCUAUUAUAGUUGGAUCUUAUGUUUCUUCUCCCCCUCUACUCUCUUGUAAUGGAUUGUGUUUCCCCUUUGAAGUUAUCUUAUCGGAUUGAGUCUUUAAAGAUUUGAGAACACUUGAUGUAUGUCUUGCCGUGCGUAUCUAUGGUGACAAUGGGAUACCACGUGAUUCACUUGAUGUAUGUUUUGGUGAUCAACUUGCGGGUUCCGCCCAUGAACCUAUGCAUAGGGGUUGGCACACGUUUUCGUCGUGAUUCUCCGGUAGAAACUUUGGGGCACUCUUUGAGGUCCUUUGUGUUUGUUGAAUAGAUGAAUAUGAGAUUGUGUGACGCAUAUCGUAUAAUCAUACCCACGGAUACUUGAGGUGACAUUGGAGUAUCUAGGUGACAUUAGGGUUUUGGUUGAUUUGUGUCUUAAGGUGUUAUUCUAGUACGAACUCUAGGGUUGUUUGUGACACUUAUAGGAAUAGCCCAACGGAUUGAUUGGAAAGAAUAACUUUGAGAUGGUUUCGUACCCCACCAUAAUCUCUUCGUUCGUUCUCCGCUAUUAGUGACUUUGGAGUGACUAUUUGUUGCAUGUUGAGGGAUAGUUAUGUGAUCCAAUUAUGAUAUUAUUGUUGAGAGGACUUGCACUAGUGAAAGUAUGAAUCCUAGGCCUUGUUUCCUAGCAUUGCAAUACCGUUUACGCUCACUUUUAUCAUUAGUUACCUUGCUGUUUUUAUAAUUUCAGAUUACAAAUACCUUUAUCUACUAUCCAUAUACCACUUGUAUCACCAUCUCUUCGCCGAACUAGUGCACCUAUACAAUUUACCAUUGUAUUGGGUGUGUUGGGGACACAAGAGACUCUUUGUUAUUUGGUUGCGGGGUUGCUUGAGAGAGACCAUCUUCAUCCUACGCCUCCUACGGAUUGAUAAACCUUAGGCCAUCCACUUGAGGGAAAUUUGCUACUGUCCUACAAACCUCUGCACUUGGAGGCCCAACAACGUCUACAAGAAGAAGGUUGUGUAGUAGACAUCACUCCGGCUCGGAGGUUCCUCAGGCACGAUAAAAUCUCCGUCGCCGAGGCUCACCUCAUCCUCGGAGGGUGGAAGGUAAUUACUGUCCUCCGAGUCUUCGUUUGCGGCCUGUUCAUCAAGGCUAGCUUGCCCAUCCUCCCGAUCGUUUUGUUCAGAGUUUUGCUCGACGGGGUUUUCUUGGUCUUCAGCAUCAUUCGGAGUAUUGUUGUUUCUCGUGUCGGUAUUGUUGUCUUUGCUGCGGCGUGAUUUAGAGCGGCGCUGUCGGUGCUUUGGUUGUAUCUCAGAAGGUUUAUCCUAGACUGGGUCUUCUUUGUCAUCGCCGUUAGCUUGCUUGGGCGUAUCCACCAUGUAUGCGUCAUACGAGGAGGUGGCCGGCCAGCGUCCGGUAAACGGCGAGUUUUCGGCUUGCUCCUCUCCGGCAUCGUCAUCCAUACCGUCGAUGUCUUCGGAGACGUAAUCGAGCAUGUCAGUUAAGUCCUCGACUGUGGUGAUGAAGUGGGUGGUGGGUGGGAUGUAAAAUUCCCCGCUCUCAGCCCUAGUCCGGGCUAGGCGUAGUUCGGACGUUGCUCCUCUGUAAUCACGACGGAUCACAUCAAGUCCAGAGCCUCGCUUAAAGGCGAGGUUUGGCCCGAGAGAACAGAGCAUGUGGAGUACGGCGAGAGGGAGACUCCUUGGCCGAACUCACACGAUGUCGGAGAAGGGUCCGGCUCCAUGAUGCCUGCCAGCGACACUACUUCCCCCGGCUCUCCCACAAUUGGUUUGGUGGCCGUAGAUAGUCCGGCAAGCUCAGAGAGCCUGUCUUCGGACCUGGCGAUACGCUCCAGAUCUAAGGCCAGAGCGGAGAUUGAGGGCGCGAAUCCUUGGAAGAUCAAGUCUCCUUGGAUAUCCGUGACAUAGUCCAGAUUUCCAAAACUAAUCUGGUGACCUGGGGCAUAGCUGUCGAUCUGCUCUAGAUGGCCAAGCGAGUUGGCCCGCAGUGCGAAGCCGCCGAACACAAAGAUCUGGCCAGGGAGGAAAAACCUCCCCCAAGGCAGCUUUGUUGUAGAUGAUUGAGGGAGCCAUUGAACCUUCUAGUCACGACAAAGUGGAACUCUCAAUGAAAGCACCAAUGUCGGUGUCAAAACCGACGGAUCUCGGGUAGGGGGUCCCGAACUGUGCGUCUAAGGUUGAUGGUAAUAGGAGACAUGGGACAUGAAGUUUUACCCAGGUUCGGGCCCUCUUGAUGGAGGUAAUACCCUACGUCCUGCUUGAUUGAUAUUGAUAAGUAUGAGGGUUACAAGAGUUGAUCUACCACGAGAUUGUAAUAGCUAAAACCCUAGAAGUCUAGCAUGUAAGAUCACGAUUACCUCUACGGACUAAACCCUCCGUUUUAUAUAGACACCGGAGGGGACUAGAGUUGUACAAAGUCGGUUACAGAGAAAGGAAUCUUUAUAUCCGAACGCCAGACUUGUCAUCCACGCCAAGGAGAGUCCCAUCCGGACACGGGAGAGAGUCUUCUGUCUUGUAUCUUCAUAGCCCAUUAGUUCGGCCCAUGUCCAACAGGUCGGACGCCCGAGGACCCCUUAAUCCAGGACUCCCUCACGGGGCGCGCGACCAACCCUUGAGGCCCUUUUCUCCUUUCCCGUAUGGCCCACUAAGGCCCACUACUUGUUGGAAAUAUGCCCUAGAGGCAAUAAUAAAAGGAUUAUUAUUAUAUUUCCUUGUUCAUGAUAAUUGUCUUUUAUUCAUGCUAUAAUUGUGUUAUCCAGAAAUCGUAAUACAUGUGUGAAUACAUAGACACCAACAUGUCCCUAGUAAGCCUCUAGUUGACUAGCUCGUUGAUCAACGGAUAGCCAUGGUUUCCUGACUAUGGACAUUGGAUGUCAUUGAUAACGAGAUUACAUCAUUAGGAGAAUGAUGUGAUGGACAAGACCCAAUCCUAAACAUAGCACAAGAUCGUAUAGUUCGUUUGCUAGAGUUUUUCCAAUGUCAAGUAUCUUUUCCUUAGACCAUGAGAUCGUGUAACUCCCGGAUACCGUAGGAAUGCUUUGGGUGUACCAAACGUCACAACGUAACUGGGUGACUAUAAAGGUAUACUACGGGUAUCUCUGAAAGUGUCUGUUGGGUUGACACGGAUCAAGACUGGGAUUUGUCACUCCGUAUGACGGAGAGGUAUCUCUGGGCCCACUCGGUAAUGCAUCAUCAUAAUGAGCUCAAAGUGACCAAGUGUCUAGUCACGGGAUCAUGCAUUACGGUACGAGUAAAGUGACUUGCCAGUAACGAGAUUGAACGAGGUAUUGAGAUACCGACGAUCGAAUCUCGGGCAAGUAACGUACCGAUUGACAAAGGGAAUUGUAUACGGGGUUGCUUGAAUCCUCGACAUCGUGGUUCAUCCGAUGAGAUCAUUGAGGAGCAUGUGGGAGCCAACAUGGGUAUCCAGAUCCCGCUGUUGGUUAUUGACCGGAGAGCCGUCUCGGUCAUGUCUACAUGUCUCCCGAACUCGUAGGGUCUACACACUUAAGGUUCGGUGACGCUAGGGUUGUAGAGAUAUGAAUAUGCAGUAACCCAAAAGUUGUUCGGAGUCCCGGAUGAGAUCCCGGACGUCACGAGGAGUUCCGGAGGUGAAGAAUUAUAUGUAGGAAGUGCAGUUUCGGCCAUCGGGAGAGUUUCGGGGGUCACCGGUAUUGUACCGGGACCACCGGAAGGGUCCCGGGGGUCCAUCGGGUGGGGCCACCCAUCCCGGAGGGCCCCAUGGGCUGAAGUGGGGAGGGGAACCAGCCCAUAGUGGGCUGGUGCACCCCCUUUGGCCCACCCCAUGCGCCUAGGGUUGGGAACCCUAGGGUGGGGGGCGCCCCACCUGGCUUGGGGGGCACUCCACCCCUUGGCCGCCGCCCCCCCUAGGAGAUCCCAUCUCCUAGGUCCGGCGCCCCCCCCCCCUAGGGGAGCCUAUAUAAAGGGGGGAGGGAGGGGCAGCCGCACCCUUGACUCUUGGCGCCUCCCUCUCCCCUGCUACACCUCUCCCUCUCGCAGAAGAACGGCGAAGCCCUGCUGCGGUGACUGCUGCAUCCACCACCACGACGUCGUGCUGCUGGAUCUUCAUCAACCUCUCCUCCCCCCUUGAUGGAUCAAGAAGGAGGAGACGUCACGCUGACCGUACGUGUGUUGAACACGGAGGUGCUGUACGUUCGGUGCUAGGAUCUCCGGUGAUUUGGAUCACGUCGAGUACGACUUCCUCAUCCUCGUUCUUUGAACGCUUCCGCGCGUGAUCUACAAAGGUAUGUAGAUGCAAUCCGAUCACUCGUUGCUAGAUGAACUCAUAGAUGGAUCUUGGUGAAACCGUAGGAAAUUUUUUGUUUUCUGCAACGUUCCCCUUCAGUGGCAUCAUGAGCUAGGUCUAUGCGUAGUUCUUUUUGCACGAGUAAAACACAAUUUGUUGUGGGCGUAGAUGUUGUCAACUUUCUUGCCGCUACUAGUCUUAUUUUGCUUCAGCGGUAUUGUGGGAUGAAGCGGCCCGGACCAACCUUACACGUACGCUUACGCGAGACCGGUUCCACCGACUGACAUGCACUAGUUGUAUAAGGUGGUUGGCGGGUGUCUGUCUCUCCCACUUUAGUUGGAGCGGAUUUGAUGAAAAGGGUCCUUAUGAAGGGUAAAUAGAAGUUGACAAAUCACGUUGUGGCUUUAACGUAGGUAAGAAAACGCUGUUGCUAGAACCCUCUUGCAGCCACGUAAAACUUGCAACAACAAUUAGAGGACGUCAAACUUGUUUUUGCAGCAAGUGUUCUGUGAUGUGAUGUGGCCAAAGUUGUGAUGAAUGAUGAAUGAUAUAUAUGUGAUGUAUGAGAUCAUGUUCUUGUAAUAGGAAUCACGACUUGCAUGUCGAUGGGUAUGACAACCGGCAGGAGCCAUAGGAGUUGUCUUUAUUUUUUGUAUGACCUGCGUGUCAUUGAGAAACGCCAUGUAAAUUACUUUACUUUAUUGCUAAACGUGUUAGCCAUAGUAGUAGAAGUAAUAGUUGGCGAGCAACUUCAUGGAGACACGAUGAUGGAGAUCAUGAUGAUGGAGAUCAUGGUGUCAUGCCGGUGACAAGAUGAUCAUGGAGCCCCAAGAUGGAGAUCACAGGAGCUAUAUGAUAUUGGCCAUCUCAUGUCACUAUUAUUCGAUUGCAUGUGAUGUUUAUCAUGUUUUUGCAUCUUGUUUACUUAGAACGACGGUAGUAAAUAAGAUGAUCCCUCAUAAUAAUUUCAAGAAAGUGUUCCCCCUAAUUGUGCACCAUUGCGACAGUUCGUUGUUUCGAAGCACCACGUGAUGAUCGGGUGUGAUAGAUUCCAACGUUCACAUACAACGGGUGUAAGACAGAUUUACACAUGCAAACACUUAGGUUGACUUGACGAGCCUAGCAUGUACAGACAUGGCCUCGGAACACAGAAGACCGGAAGGUCGAGCAUGAGUCGUAUAGAAGAUACGAUCAACAUGAAGAUGUUCACCGAUGUUGACUAGUCCAUCUCACGUGAUGAUCGGACACGGCCUAGUUAACUCGGAUCAUGUUAUACUUAGAUGACUGGAGGGAUGUCUAUCUAAGUGGGAGUUCAUUGAAUAAUUUGAUUAGAUGAACUUAAUUAUCAUGAACUUAGUCUAAAAUCUUUACAACAUGUAUUGUAGAUCAAAUGGCCAACGUUGUCCUCAACUUCAACGCGUUCCUAGAGAAAACCAAGCUGAAAGACGAUGGCAGCAACUAUACAGACUGGGUCCGGAACCUGAGGAUCAUCCUCAUAGCUGCCAAGAAAGAUUAUGUCCUACAAGCACCGCUAGGUGAAGCACCCGCUCUCCCUGCAGAACAAGACGUUAUGAACGCUUGGCAGACACGUACCGAUGAUUACUCCCUCGUUCAGUGCGGCAUGCUUUACAGCUUAGAGCCGGGGCUCCAAAAGCGUUUUGAGACACACGGAGCAUAUGAGAUGUUCGAAGAGCUGAAAAUGGUUUUUCAAGCUCAUGCUCGGGUCGAGAGAUAUGAAGUCUUCGACAAGUUCUUCAGCUGUAAGAUGGAGGAAAACAGUUCUGUCAGUGAGCACAUACUCACUAUGUCUAGGUUACAUAACCGCUUGACUCAGCUGGGAGUUAAUCUCCCGAAUGACGCGGUCAUUGACAGAAUCCUUCAGUCGCUUCCACCGAGCUACAAGAGCUUUGUGAUGAACUUCAAUAUGCAGGGGAUGGAAAAGACCAUUCCUGAAGUAUUUGCAAUGCUGAAAUCAGCAGAGGUAGAAGUCAAAAAGGAACAUCAAGUGUUGAUGGUGAAUAAAACCACUAAGUUCAAGAAAGGCAAGGGUAAGAAGAACUUCAAGAAGAACGGCAAGGGAGUUGCCGCGCCCGGUAAGCAAGCUGCCGGGAAGAAGCCAAAGAAUGGACCCAAGCCCAAGACUGAGUGCUUUUAUUGCAAGGGAAGUGGUCACUGGAAGCGGAACUGCCCCAAAUACUUAGCUGACAAGAAGGCCGGCAUCACGAAAGGUAUAUGUGAUAUACAUGUAAUUGAUGUGUACCUUACCAGUACUCGUAGUAGCUCCUGGGUAUUUGAUACCGGUGCGGUUGCUCACAUUUGUAACUCAAAGCAGGAGCUGCAGAAUAAGCGGAGACUGGCGAAGGACGAGGUGACGAUGCGCGUCGGGAAUGGUUCCAAGGUCGAUGUGAUCGCCGUUGGCACGCUACCUACAAGAUUAGUUUUAAACCUCAAUAAUUGUUAUUUAGUGCUAGCUUUGAGCAUGAACAUUGUAUCAGGAUCUCGUUUAAUUCGAGAUGGCUACUCAUUUAAAUCCGAGAAUAAUGGUUAUUCUAUUUAUAUGAGAGAUAUGUUUUAUGGUCAUGCUCCGAUAGUGAAUGGUUUAUUCUUAAUGAAUCUCGAGCGUAAUGCUACACAUAUUCAUAGUGUGAAUACCAAAAGAUGUAAGGUUGAUAAUGAUAGUCCCACAUACUUGUGGCACUGCCGCCUUGGUCACAUAGGUGUCAAACGCAUGAAGAAGCUCCAUGCAGAUGGACUUUUAGAGUCUCUUGAUUACGAAUCAUUUGACACGUGCGAACCAUGCCUCAUGGGUAAAAUGACCAAGACUCCGUUCUCAGGAAUAAUGGAGCGAGCAACCAACUUAUUGGAAAUCAUACAUACUGAUGUGUGCGGUCCAAUGAGUGUUGAGGCUCGCGGUGGCUAUCGUUAUGUUCUCACCCUCACUGAUGACUUGAGUAGAUAUGGUAUGUCUAUUUAAUGAAACACAAGUCUGAGACCUUUGAAAAGUUCAAGGAAUUUCAAAGUGAGGUUGAGAAUCAAAGGAAAAUCAAGUUCUUGCGAUCAGAUCGUGGAGGAGAAUACUUGAGUCACGAGUUUGGCACACACUUAAGAAAAUGUGGAAUAGUUUCACAACUAACGCCGCCUGGAACACCUCAGCGUAAUGGUGUGUCUGAACGUCGUAAUCGCACUCUAUUAGAUAUGGUGCGAUCUAUGAUGUCUCUUACAGAUUUACCGUUAUCAUUUUGGGGCUAUGCUUUAGAGACUGCCGCAUUCACUUUAAAUAGGGAUCCGUCGAAAUCCGUUGAGACGACACCGUAUGAAUUAUGGUUUGGGAAGAAACCUAAGCUAUCAUUUCUAAAAGUUUGGGGAUGCGAUGCUUAUGUCAAGAAACUUCAACCUGAAAAGCUCGAACCCAAGUCGGAAAAAUGCGUCUUCAUAGGAUACCCUAAAGAAACUAUUGGGUAUACCUUCUACCUCAGAUCCGAAGGCAAGAUCUUUGUUGCCAAGAAUGGAUCCUUUCUAGAGAAGGAGUUUCUCUCGAAAGAAGUAAGUGGGAGGAAAGUAGAACUUGAUGAAGUAUUACCUCUUGAACCGGAAAAUGGCGCAACUCAAGAAAAUGUUCCUGAGAUGCCUGCACCGACUAGAGAGGAAGUUAAUGAUGAUGAUCAUGAAACUUCAGAUCAAGUUGCUACUGAACUUCGUAGGUCCACAAGGACACGUUCCUCACCAGAGUGGUACGGCAACCCUGUCUUGGAAAUCAUGUUGUUAGACAACGGUGAACCUUCGAACUAUGAAGAAGCGAUGGCGGGCCCGGAUUCUGACAAAUGGCUGGAAGCCAUGAAAUCCGAGAUAGGAUCCAUGUAUGAAAACGAAGUAUGGACUUUGACUGACUUGCCCGUUGAGCGGCGAGCCAUAGAAAAUAAAUGGAUCUUUAAGAAGAAGACAGACGCAGAUGGAAAUGUGACCAUGUAUAAAGCUCGGCUUGUCGCUAAGGGUUAUCGACAAGUUCAAGGGGUUGACUAUGAUGAGACUUUCUCACCCGUAGCGAAGCUGAAGUCCGUCUGAAUCAUGUUAGCAAUUGCCGCAUUCUAUAAUUAUGAGAUAUGGCAAAUGGACGUCAAAACGGCAUUCCUUAAUGGUUUCCUUAAGGAAGAAUUGUAUAUGAUGCAGCUGGAAGGUUUUGUCGAUCCUAAGAAUGCUGACAAGGUGUGCAAGCUCCAACGCUCGAUUUAUGGGCUGGUGCAAGCAUCUCGGAGUUGGAACAUUCGCUUUGAUGAGAUGAUCAAAGCGUUUGGGUUUAUGCAGACUUAUGGAGAAGCCUGCGUUUACAAGAAAGUGAGUGGGAGCUCUGUAGCAUUUCUCAUAUUAUAUGUAGAUGACAUAGUUUUGAUGGGAAAUGAUAUAGAGCUUUUGGACAGCAUUAAGGCCUACUUGAAUAAGAGUUUUUCAAUGAAGGACCUUGGAGAAGCUGCAUAUAUAUUAGGCAUCAAGAUCUAUAGAGAUAGAUCAAGACGCCUCAUAGGUCUUUCACAAAGCACAUACCUUGAUAAGAUAUUGAAGAAGUUCAAUAUGGAUCAGUCUAAGAAGGGGUUCUUGCCUGUGUUGCAAGGUGUGAAAUUGAGCUCAGCUCAAUGUCCGACCACAGCAGAAGAUAUAGAAGAGAUGAGUGUCAUCCCCUAUGCCUCAGCCAUAGGUUCUAUUAUGUAUGCCAUGUUGUGUACCAGACCUGAUGUAAACCUUGACAUAAGUUUGGUAGGUAGGUACCAAAGUAAUCCCGGCAAGGAACACUGGACAGCGGUCAAGAAUAUCCUGAAGUACCUGAAAAGGACUAAGGAAAUGUUUCUCAUUUAUGGAGGUGACGAAGAGCUCGUCGUAAAGGGUUACGUCGACGCUAGCUUCGACACAGAUCUGGAUGACUCUAAGUCACAAACCGGAUACGUGUAUAUUUUGAAUGGUGAGGCAGUAAGCUGGUGCAGUUGCAAGCAGAGCAUCGUGGCGGGAUCUACAUGUGAAGCGGAGUACAUGGCAGCCUCGAAGGCAGCGCAUGAAGCAAUUUGGGUGAAGGAGUUCAUCACCGACCUAGAAGUCAUACCCAAUGCGUCGGGGCCGAUCAAACUCUUCUGUGACAACACUGGAGCUAUUGCACUUGCCAAGGAGCCCAGGUUUCACAAGAAGACUAGGCACAUCAAGCGUCGCUUCAACUCCAUUCGUGAAAAUGUUCAAGAUGGAGACAUAGAUAUUUGUAAAGUACAUACGGACCUGAAUAUAGAAGAUCCAUUGACUAAACCUCUCCCUAGAGCAAAACAUGAUCAACGCCAGAAUUCCAUGGGUGUUCGAUUCAUCACAAUGUAACUAGAUUAUUGACUCUAGUGCAAGUGGGAGACUGUUGGAAAUAUGCCCUAGAGGCAAUAAUAAAAGGAUUAUUAUUAUAUUUCCUUGUUCAUGAUAAUUGUCUUUUAUUCAUGCUAUAAUUGUGUUAUCCGGAAAUCGUAAUACAUGUGUGAAUACGUAGACACCAACAUGUCCCUAGUAAGCCUCUAGUUGACUAGCUCGUUGAUCAACAGAUAGCCAUGGUUUCCUGACUAUGGACAUUGGAUGUCAUUGAUAGCGAGAUCACAUCAUUAGGAGAAUGAUGUGAUGGACAAGACCCAAUCCUAAACAUAGCACAAGAUCGUAUAGUUCGUUUGCUAGAGUUUUUCCAAUGUCAAGUAUCUUUUCCUUAGACCAUGAGAUCGUGUAACUCCCGGAUACCGUAGGAAUGCUUUGGGUGUACCAAACGUCACAACGUAACUGGGUGACUAUAAAGGUAUACUACAGGUAUCUCCGAAAGUGUCUGUUGGGUUGACACGGAUCAAGACUGGGAUUUGUCACUCCGUAUGACGGAGAGGUAUCUCUGGGCCCACUCGGUAAUGCAUCAUCAUAAUGAGCUCAAAGUGACCAAGUGUCUGGUCACGGGAUCAUGCAUUACGGUACGAGUAAAGUGACUUGCCGGUAACGAGAUUGAACGAGGUAUUGGGAUACCGAUGAUCGAAUCUCGGGCAAGUAACGUACCGAUUGACAAAGGGAAUUGUAUACGGGGUUGCUUGAAUCCUCAACAUCGUGGUUCAUCCGAUGAGAUCAUUGAGGAGCAUGUGGGAGCCAACAUGGGUAUCCAGAUCCCGCUGUUGGUUAUUGACCGGAGAGCCGUCUCGGUCAUGUCUACAUGUCUCCCGAACCCGUAGGGUCUACACACUUAAGGUUCGGCGACGCUAGGGUUAUAGAGAUAUGAAUAUGCAGUAACCCCAAAGUUGUUCGGAGUCCCGGAUGAGAUCCCGGACAUCACGAGGAGUUCCAGAAUGGUCCGGAGGUGAAGAAUUAUAUGUAGGAAGUGCAGUUUCGGCCAUCGGGAGAGUUUCGGGGGUCACCGGUAUUGUACCGGGACCACCGAAAGGGUCCCGGGGGUCCACCGGGUGGGGCCACCCAUCCCGGAGGGCCCCAUGGGCUGAAGUGGGGAGGGGAACCAGCCCAUAGUGGGCUGGUGUGCCCCCUUUGGCCCACCCCAUGCGCCUAGGGUUGGGAACCCUAGGGUGGGGGGCGCCCCACCUGGCUUGGGGGCACUCCACCCCUUGGCCGCCGCCCCCCUAGGAGAUCCCAUCUCCUAGGGCCAGCGCCCCCCCUAGGGGAGCCUAUAUAAAGGGGGGAGGGAGGGGCAGCCGCACCCUUGACUCUUGGCGCCUCCCUCUCCCCUGCUACACCUCUCCCUCUCGCAGAAGAACGGCGAAGCCCUGCUGCGGUGACUGCUGCAUCCACCACCACGCCGUCGUGCUGCUGGAUCUUCAUCAACCUCUCCUCCCCUCUUGCUGGAUCAAGAAGGAGGAGACGUCACGCUGACCGUACGUGUGUUGAACACGGAGGUGCCGUCCGUUCGGCGCUAGGAUCUCCGGUGAUUUGGAUCACGUCGAGUACGACUUCCUCAUCCCCGUUCUUUGAACGCUUCCGCGCGUGAUCUACAAAGGUAUGUAGAUGCAAUCCGACCACUCAUUGCUAGAUGAACUCAUAGAUGGAUCUUGAUGAAACCGUAGGAAAAUUUUUGUUUUCUGCAACGUUCCCCAUCACUACUUCCCUCCGCGAAUUCCCGUAACUCUCCGGUACUCCGAAAAAUACCCGAAUCACUCGGAACCUUUCUGAUGUCCGAAUAUAGCCUUCCAAUAUAUUGAUCUUUAUGUCUCGACCAAUUCGAGACUCCUCGCCAUGGCCGUGAUCUCAUCCGGGACUUCGAACAACCUUCAGUACAUCAAAUCACAUAACUCAUAAUGCAAAUCGUCAUCGAACAUUAAGCGUGAGGACCCUACGGGUUCGAGAACUAUGUAGACAUGACCGAAACACAUCUCCGGUCAAUAACCAAUAGAGGAACCUGGAUGCUCAUAUUGGCUCCUACAUAUUCUAUGAAGAUCUUUAUCGGUCAAACCGCAUAACAACAUACGUUGUUCCCUUUGUCAUCGAUAUGUUACUUGCCCGAGAUUCGAUCGUUGGUAUCAUCAUACCUAGUUCAAUCUCAUUACCGACAAGUCUCUUUACUCGUUCCGUAAUGCAACAUCCCGCAACUAACUCAUUAGCCACAUUGCUUGCAAGGCUUAUAGUGAUGUGCAUUACCGAGAGAGCCUGGAGAUACCUCUCCGACAAUCGGAGUGACAAAUCCUAAUCUCGAUCUAUGCCAACUCAACAAACACCAUCGGAGACAUCUGUAGAGCAUCUUUAUAAUCACCCAGUUAUGUUGUGACGUUUGAUAGCACACAAGGUGUUCCUCCGGUAUUCGGGAGCUGCAUAAUCUCAUAAUCAGAGGAAUAUGUAUAAGUCAUGAUGAAAGCAAUAGCAAUAAAACUAAACAAUCAUUUAUGCCAAGCUAAUGGAUGGGUUUGUCUGUCACAUCAUUCUCUAAUGAUGUGAUUCCGUUCAUCAAAUGACAACACAUGUCUAUGGUCAGGAAACUUAACCAUCUUCGAUUAACGAGCUAGUCAAGUAGAGGCAUACUAGGGACACUCUGUUUUGUCUAUGUAUUCACACAUGUACUAAGUUUCCGGUUAAUACAAUUCUAGCAUGAAUAAUAAACAUUUAUCAUGAUAUAAGGAAAUAUAAAUAACAACUUUAUUAUUGCCUCUAGGGCAUAUUUCCUUCAUGGGGCGCACUGUGCUUUGUCGCGGUCCAGACGCUAUUUAUGAGGCCACUUCCGAGUGGCUGAUGAGUGGGCCGGAGCAAUCUAAUCAUAUCCCGCAGCAGGCGCUCGCCCAAUACGUGGCAGAAAAGGUGGCACGAAGAUCGAGGCAUCCUCGUCUAUUCACUUUGUUUACUGCGGCACGCUCCGUUCCAUGGGCUUCCGUGAAAUUUCGAAUCCCGUGAGAUCAGGAGACCGCAGAAUAACCAAUCGCGCCAAAGAUUUCGUACCAUAUCAACACUUGAAGUUUAUCAGUUAAGUUCACUCGACGACCUCUGAAUCGAUCGAGGUGACUGAAACAAGAUCGAAGCUUCAACAUGAUUCACAAACUCAGACGAAAUACCUCCGAAGUAUGGAAUCGAGACGGAGUCAACUUCAGCUCUUUCUUCACUCGGACCUCAAAUCCAUUCGGGGGCUAAUGAUGAUGACAUGUGCCUAGGGUAGGGUCAUAGGCCUGACCUAGACACCUUACCCAAGGACACUGCCCUAGAGUCAAAGACAUUCAAAGUACAACAGAAGAAACUGACUGAGUCCACCAAGGAGUGCAAUCCACUCGACCUCCAACCUCACUCGGAAAUCCCAAUUCCAUUCGACCAAGAUAAAGUCACUCGACCAUAUAAGACACCACUCGGAAUACAGAAGGCCCAAAGUCACUCAGGAUGGCAAACGGUCAGGCGUUCACUCUGUAGUCUUAAAGAUCAUUUAUAGCUCUUCAUGACUGGCGUUACCAGUAAUGCUCUGUCUUAAUAUACAUUGAACCUUGUGUAACGUGGGAUGGUCGGGGUCCUGACGCACUCUAUAUAAGCCACCCCCUCCUCUGGCACAAGGGUUCGCACCCCCUGUAACUCUCACGCAUAAUCCAGUCGACCAAAGCCUUCGGGCACCGAGACAUAGGGCUGUUACUUCCUCCGAGAAGGGCCUGAACUCGUAAACCUUGCGUGCACAACCUCACCGUAGCUGGGAUCUUGCCUCCUCCUACGUACCCCCUAUUCUAUUGUCAGACUUACUCCCAUGACACAUAGGUCCACCACGAGGAUGCCACCGCCACACCAUCCUUGCUUGAGUAGACUGGUUUCCAAAUUCAUCCCCAACGAUAGAACCGAUGGCCUCGUCAAGGAAGGACUUGAAGAAUCUUUAUUCAGCACCGUCAUCAUCGUCGCCGAAGCCAAGACGAUGAACAACCUAAAAACCUAGACUACGAGGGAGUAAAAAUGAUCCACACGCGUGGACCCGGCGACCCCCCUCACCACCAACGACAUAGGUCGCCGGCGAAGGGGAGCCGAUGGAGGACGGUGCUGGAAGAUUGGCCUCUCCUGACAGUGGCUAGGAUUCCAGCCGCCAGGACAAGAGGAAAAGAAAACGAUACAACAGCUCUCUGGUCUGGCUCUGACAAGACGACGGGUGCCGAAUGCAAGGUCAAUUGAAAGACGGUGUGUCGCCCUCAAGAAUAUGGCGGCCUUGGAAUGCUCAACACCGACAAGUUUGCUCGGGCUCUGUGACUUCCAUGGCUUUAGUAUUAGUGGAAGGGACCUUUCAGUUUGUAAUACUGUAGCAGCACGGUAUCUCACUGUUGCACGUGUACGGUAUAAGUCAGUAUGAGUGCGGCGUAUGUACGUGCUCGUCCUUGAACUGGUAGCGACUCACAGACGAAUGUGGCCUCACAUCGGUCAGUACGCUAUAUGCAAACCACAAGUCCCAGUCAGAUAGAUUACGUAGCCUGAACUGCAUUGCAGGAUCUAGCGCUUAUUGCAUAUACAGUACAGUAAUAAUCAAAUUAAACAAGAAAACAAAUCCAUCCAAACUUUUCCUCCGACGUGGUAACUACUCCGUAUAAAGUUCGCAGUGGCUAACAACAAUAGCACAAGGCUUCACUACUCUAGGAUAAAUGAGAAUUUUCAAAUAAUAUAACUAGCUGACCAUCAACAAUGCAAUUCAAACACUAUCGACCUAAUCAUCGCUAACAGAGUUCACAGUUGUACAAGCAUAUACUGUAUUUAAGUUUAAGGGUGCAUUUAGCAGAAAAUUAUUGGGAAAAUAUGACGGAGAUUGUUGUUUAAUUAGACAAUGCACAGUUCUGAACAUGGAUAUCCAGCGGCAGUCCUGUUAACUCCCUCAUUCCACUGUGUUCAAAAUCCAACUGUAAAGCUUCCAGGCUUCAAAUUGCUAGCAAAGUGGCAGAUACUUGGAACGAAAGGAAUAUAAGAUCUGAAUACAAGCAAACAGGAAAUGAUAUUAAUAACCAAAACUAUUGGGAAUAGAUGGAACAGAACGACCUUGACCUCAGCAAAAGUCAAAAAUAAAUCCAAGCUCGUUAAUUCACAAUGGCACGCCAUUAGUACGAAAGUGAUAGGAAAUGAUGAGGGUGCUUGGAUACGUUUUAGUCUCAUGACUAAAAGUAGUGGGACUAAAACUUGCUAGCUUCACCCAUGCUUGGAUCCAAAUACUAAAGAGACAAAAAUCAAAUUAAUGAGCAUUUAUUAUCCUCCAAACCCUUCAAUCCAGAACUCGCCUGUGUUAAAAGAAAGGAGUUAAAUGAGGAGAGAGAGGACUAAUCCACAUUUUAGCAGGGGUACCCUGACUAAAAAAAUUUAGCCUCAAGACUAGUUUUAGCCUCUCUUUAGUCAGGGGUGCUUGGAACUUUAGCCUCUUAAAGAGACUAUUUUUAGUCAGACUAAAAUAAGUCCCUUGGAUCCAAGCACCCUCUAUGCCCCCAUGGAGGAGAUUUGGCUCGAAGAUCUAUCAAUGAAAGAUGGCCAGCGCCAACACAGUGAAGUCUGCCUCUGCAUACGAGCCCCCUCUGACCUGCAGCUAUAGUUGUAGGAGUAUAUAAGUAUUGCCCUGGUUUUGCUUUCUUCUUUUUGGUUUUUUGAUACAAUAGUUUUUUUGGGUUUUGUUAGUAUAUGCUCUGGUUGGCUGCCUUUUCAGUUUAUUGGUUUGUUUGGUGUUAUUUUGUGAACUUCUGUACCUUCUCACCAUUCUUCUCAAGUUCUCGUACAUCUAAUACAAAACAGCAUGCAUGUUGAUACAUGUCCAAGAAAAAAGAAUGAUGCCAUAAUAUGCUAGAAAUCCACAAAACACAACAGUUAUGUUUUUGAGAAUGGUGCACAAAUCUCAACUAACCACUUGUCAUCUUAUCUGUAAUUCUAGCAGUACAUCAAUCAUACAGGAGGCACAGAACAAGAGCACCAAUUAACAAAGUGAUCCUUCAGCAACAAGGAAAAAUAAUGGGUUAAUUUGAUAAAUGCCACUCGAAUUCUGGCGAUUCCCAGAAAUGCCAUUGCAAUUUCCAAACUUUGAAAAAUGCCAUUUCCAGUGGCAUUUUCCAAAGUCUGCCGUGGCGUUUCUCAAAGUUUGGAAAUUGCAGUGGUGCUUCCCGGAAUCGCCAGAAUUUGAGUGGCAUUUAUCCAAUUAACCCAAAAAUAAAUUGGGUGUCUCCAUAGCAAAUCUAAUAAAUGGAAUCAAAGUUAAAAAUAGUGGUAGUUCCAAAUGCUUCCACAACUAAUUUACUGACUAUCACUUUCCUAGGUUCCUGACAAAAUAUUUCCCACAGUAGCUUUGCAUUUCAAAUAUCUAGCUGAACUCAUGGAUGAAGCGGAAACAAUGCUUCUUCUUUCCUAAAUUUGCUUCAACUUUUUUCUUUUCCCUUUUCCCUUUCCGACGUAACGAGUCUUUCAAGUUCAACCAAGACAACUUAUAUCCAAUUAUUAUUUUGUGGCUGCCUGCCAAUAUCUAUUACAUCACAGUGUUAUGUUACCCUACAGCUUAUGUCCAGUGGAUUUUGCAUGGCCUUAUAGGCAUAAAACCGUGACUGGAGAUGUUGUUAUCACACAUUAUUUAUGACAGAUUUACAUCACGAAUUUGUCAGCACCGUAGUUCAGAUUAUGAGCACGACACUCACGUUUGUAAUUUGUAAAGUGCAAUGUGACUUUUUAAUAAAUUCUCAGCUCCCCUAACAAGGUCAAGGUCAUACCUGAAGAGGUUCUCAUGUGGAAUGAUCAUAAGUAUUGUCUAGACAAGAUGGUCCGAGAGGUAACAGGAUAACUUGUGAGAUAUCACUAGAGGGUCCUGAAGUUUGUUAUCAUCGAAGGCUCAUGUGUCGACCUGUAUAUACAGCACAUAAUGGUAGCAACACAAAAUGUAUUCUUAGAGACGUGGACAUCUUUGCUAACAGGGCACCAGGCACACACAUGUUGAAGUAUUUCCGCCAUGCAAAAUUCAGAGACAUGGAUGCCAUGUCAGCGGAAACGUGGUCAUUUCAGGAUGUCAAGUAAGUAGUUUGGAGGCGAGGGAUAUCUACUGGACUCAUCCAGCAGCCUCAUGCUUCGCAAGGAGUUAAAGUAACACUAGUCAAGAACAGGUGUUUGGCCUUCAGAAGGGAAAGAGAAAAACAAACAUAGUGCGUUGCGCAAGCAGUUACCUAUGGUAGAUGUUGUAAGUCAAUUAGCCUUUAAUUACAGAAUUUUUUCCUAUGCAUGGACGAAGGACCUGAAAUAAAGGGAAUAUCACAAUUUGGCGAAGGUACAAAAUCUACCAUGCAACAAAGUUAUGUUUUGAACUGGAAACUGUUCACAUGGAUCUUACAAUGACAACAACACUAGUGACAAAAGCCUUGCAACCAUCUAAAAGUUAUCAUUUAGCAAAAACAGUACUCCAAAGUCAACAGAACGGACACAAGGGACACAAUUCUAUUACAAUCACAGUUAAAGCUGCAAUGUCAUUAAACAGUAGGGUUAAUCUUUCUGUUCAGGAACUACUGGACAAGAUAAGGUAGCUUAACCUUUUUCCCGAAGAGAUAAGAUAGCUUAACAUGAUGUGUUGUAUGCAGAGUCACCAAACUGGAGCAGCUUUAAUUGUGUAGGUGAACUGUUGGAUCUGAAGCAUUCUGCAUCGGUGGAGGACAGAAUGGAGCGGCU